rnacentral:lncRNA from 1 species
UUUUGAACUUAUAAAAUUAAGGAUGUCUAACCUCAGAUUGUUUUUUAAUGCUCUUCUAUAUUAGUAAUUAGCUAGUGGACUCAUUCGCUAGGCUGAUGCAGAAAAGUGGAAAAUGCAGUAGAGAAAAUAGAAAGAAGAAAAGGGGAAAUCUUCUCUUGCUAAGAGGAUGGGAUGAAACAGAAAAUGGAAAGUUGGUCUUGUUCAAGAGGAAAAUUACUCUAUGCUACUCAAAACUUGGUAACGAUGAUUAUGCCUUCGUUCUUGUAUAUAUAAUUAUGUUGAUAGACAUCAUUAUGGGAUCAAAAGGUUGGGACUCACCCCAGGUCAAGGGAUCACCAACCUAUAUUUGGAAUUUACUCAUUUGAGAGGGUAGAGUCACUGUGCUCUCAUAUUCUGGUGAGAAUUUAAAGUCCUUAUCAAGGUCUGCAAUCUCGUUAUUGGACCACGUACCAAUAUCCAAUUCGUGCGCUCUAUACUCUGUGUUGGUACAGUGCAUACCUUGGUGCCGUCAUAUGAUAUGGGGCGCAUACCAAGUCUUGAUACCCUACCUACUAGUAUGGUAGCCCUAUGUCAGGUGGUAAGGUUCGAGAUUGUAAACCUUAAUCUUAUCCCCAGCCAUACUGGAUAUACAUACAUACAUACAUACAUACAUACGUACGUACGUACAUACGCACAUACAUGUGUGUGUGUGUGUAUAUAUAUAUAUAAUACAAAUUUAAAAUGAAAGGACAGUGUCUGAAAUUAAUAAAUUCUCUUAUCCUAAUUAACUACCUUGAAACUUGAGAAAUUUCUAAAACUCCACCAACUUCUAUUCUAGUUCCCUCCUUAAUGGCAUUGAAGCUAAUGAAAUCAUAAUUCUAGCUUCUUUUAGCAAGAAUUUAUUCAUGUUCUAACUACUAAUUGAAUUGGAAUGCCAUAAUAUUGUCAUAAUCAUCAUGUCCAUCAACUUGUACUCAUCAAUUUCUAAGCACUAUCAUUUCCCCUUUUGCUGGAAAGAAAAUAAUAUAUAGUGAAGAAUUAUUUGACUGAUUAUACUUUUAGGUGUCACUUGAUCUGGAAGAAACUUGAUUGCAUCAAGGAUAUCUGUGCAAGGAGAUGUCCAUAAUCAUUGCUUCGUAAAUAAUACAAUGUUUCAGCACAAGUUCAAUACAAUAAAACCAAUAGUACUUGAAUGAGACUUCUUAUUUGUAUCCACAAUUUGGCUUAGAAUCAGUUUCUUCACCUGUUGCUUCAUCAGAAACUAAACUAGAUAAUUGUGGAAUAUAUGUUCAUGUGAAUGUGCCCUAUAGCUUGAAUGAAGAUGCGGUUGUAAAGCCCUGACUGGUUACUAUUUAUAUUGAGACAAAGAAAGUAGAGCAAUAAGAGAUAGAAGUGAGAUAUACUCCUGUUGAUAAAAGGGAUGGGACAAAUUCUUGUAAAGUUGGACACUCACUUGAAACAAAUAAAUGUCUACUCUUGUAAAGUUGCAAAGCUUAUCAAACAUGCUGACAGUGGUCUAGCCAGCCUUCAUUCCUUGCCAUAUGUGGCUUUUAUUGAAACAAAUUUGAAGUCAAUAUGAGGCCAAGCAUCAUCUGAAAUCAAUCAUUGCUCUCUUGGGACCUUGUCACCUUGAAACUUCGGUCAAAAGUUCUUGGAAUUCUUCAUCUUGUAUCUUGGUUCGCUUUCUCUUAGUGACUUUAAACUUCACGAAAAUUUUAAUAAUUUCUUCUUUUUCUCAGCAUGUUAGUUUGAAUUUCUAAGUUAUUAGAUUAGAAGACAACAUUGUCUCCCUAUUAUAUUGUCGUAGACAUCAUCUGCAUCAGUUAGGAUUUAUCAAUAUACAGUUAUAUACCUGAAUUAUCCAGUUGGGCCAUGGACAAUGGAAGGCUUAUUUUCAGGCACCCUGAUUUGACUACCCCUCUCACACCUUCCCCUAUAUAUUCAUCUAUUAUAAGAAGAUAAGAUACUCAUUGUGGCCAUUUAGUUAUCAUUUACUAUUUCAACAUCGUAACCUUAAUAAACCAUUUUAUUGAUUGAAUGAUCUGGUUAAUGAUAUGGUGGAUCUUGAUCUAAGUGGUAAGCAGUUCUCAGAUAUAUGGCAAUCUUGUUGAUUGUUUGCAUGAUCCUUCCCUCCUUUCAUGACGAUUCUUCUUUCAAUUUGUUAAGAAUUUAAAACAUGGCAUUUAUCAAAAACAGCUUCUCAAUCUACAGCUCAUGUAAAAUUUAAACUAUUAGUGUAUUGUUUUCUUGUUAUGGAGUUAUUUAUGUUUAUGUGCAUGAAUGCACUUCUUUGGCAACAUUUAAGCAUGUGCACCUUGGAAAAUUCAAAAGAAGAAACUUUCAGAAAUGUUAUUGUUAGGUAGAUAUGCUUGCUGCUUUCUUGUCAGUUUGGAUAAAAUUUCAGUUGUAUACUGACAUGGCUGUGAAUUGGGAACAUGCAUUGCUUACAUAGUUGCUAUUAUAUCUUAUCUUUUCUUGUGAUGAGAAAAUAUUAUAUUGUCUUUUUUCUUUAACCCUCUUAAAUAGCAGCAUGAGAUAUCUGUUGUUACUGAAAUUUUUGAUGUGCUUUUAAUUUUUGAUUUAAAGCAUGGCAGUAGGAAAUCCAGCAAGAAUAGCUGGUUAUUUAGAACAUGAAGAUCCAUCUCUAACAAUGAAGCAUGGUAAGUUGUUUUCGAGAGAAGUUUUCGUUAGCUAUUGUAGUUGCAGAUCCUAAUGUUGUGCUCUUAUUAGCUUUGAUUCCUUAUAUUAUGCUAUUUCAAUGGCAGAUGCCAGGAAGGAUUAUUUUGAACAUGUAGCUGUUAGUUCUACGGAGAGGAGAGCUAAUGGUGAUAAUGACAUUUAACUAUUAUUUCAUGAAACACAUGGUGGUUCCCAUCUUGAUCUAUCAUAAGCCAUGUCUACAUCAAAAGUAAGUCAUCAGAAGUUUCCUAAGAAAAAAAGAGAACUAUGUGGCAUCAAAUUAUAUCAGCCAGAAUUUUAAUUAAUUCUUACAAAGUUACAUAAAUUUGCUUCUUUUUAGUUCCAAUGAGUGAAAAAAAUUUCAUACUUUGCUAUACAAUCCAUAAAUAGGAUUGAGGGAACAGCUCUGUUAGGCAUACAGUGUUUGUGCUGAUAUUGUUAAUUCUGAAAAUGAUCUGUGAAUUGGGAACAUCUGCAAAACUACCAAUGGCGUUUCCUUUUUUAAAUUUGACUUUGUACAAUAAUCCUAAUAGCAUAUCUAAUGUUUUAAAAGGUGGCUGCUGUAUGCAGGUGGUCAAGGGACGUCAUAGUGCACAUAUGGUAUGUGACCCGCAUAUGCAAGUUCAUGUGCGGUUGUUAUUAAGGUAACCAUGGUAUAUUAGUAUAAUAAUAUUUUUUGGAUGGAUAACACCAAUAUAAAUAACAAUAACUAGCAAUUUCGUUUAUUGGUUAGCACUUAAUGUCUAGCAGCGAUAAUUAGGCUUACUUGAAACUCACAUCAAACCUAACCAUCAGCCAAAAUCCACUUCCCCUGCUUGAGCCCACAAAAGAGUGGGCUGCAUAUGUGACUCCAAAGGUAAGUAGGUUCACAUAUUAGCUGCACAAUACUAGGCAUGUCAUAUACGUUGUUGCGCAGUGCUAAGUGGACUGACUAUAUAUGGUAAUUGCAUGCAGGCAAGUCAUAUAUUAAGGUAGGCAUGUACAUAUAUAGAUGUGUAUGUAUAUGUGUGUGUAUAUACAUAUGUAAGUAUUUAUAUAUAGUGCACAUAUUGAUCUUUCUCCUUGAGGAAGAAGAUCUACCCAACAAUGAAGUAAUAAAAUAGUAGGAAGAAGCAACAAUAAAGAGCUCUCCGAAAAUAAUAGAGAAGGGAGCUAGAAAUUUCAUUCAAUUGAAGAUGUCUGUUACAAUAGCUAGGCAUCCCUAGUUAUAGUUGUAGGAUCCCUUAAACCUAUCCACAAAUAUAUCCACAUUCGUUUCUUACUGGCAGGGUAAAAGGGUUCUACAAAUAAGAGAAAAAAAUAAUAUUCUCCAUAAUAGGCUAGGAUUUUAUUUGGUGCAAUGUGGAAAGUGGUUGUAGGAAUAACCGUAUAAUAAGUUUUUUUAAUUGGAUAAUAUUUUUGAGUGAUCUUGAUAUUGGGUCCUUCCAAAUCUACCUGGAUUUUAUUGGUACGGGUCUUAUUUAAUUAGAUAUGUAGUAGGCUUACAUAACUGAUUUAGGCUAGACCAAAUGUUGAACACUUUUGCUCCUUUGGUCAGCCUUUGACAUGCAUUGGUUCAAAUACAUGCCAACCAAGUCCAUGACAUGUGCAUCAAUAUAUAUAUGUAGACAUACAUAUGAUAUGUAUAUACAUGUGUGUAUAUAUGCAUGUGUAUACAUAUGUAUGGACGGAGGACAUCCCAGCCGUCCCAUCCUAUUCCUAUGAGAAAACAGGAGGAAAAAGUGAAAUGAAAGAAGAAGAAGAAAAAGGAAAGAAAGGAAGGGAGAAGAAAAAGAAAGGAAGGAAAGAAGGAAGACAGGAAGGAGAAAGAAGAAGAAAAAGGAAAAAGAAAUAAAGGAAGGGAUAAGAAAAGGAAAGAAAAGGGAAUAAAGAAAGGAAGAAAGAAAGAAGAAAGAAAAAGAAAAANNNNNNNNNNNNNNNNNNNNAAGGGAAGUAAGAAAAGGAAAAGAAAAAGGGGAAUAAAAAGAAAAGGAAAGAAAAGAAAGAAGAAAAAGAAAAAAAGAAAGAAAGGGACUGCUGUCUGGAUGGAAUGGACAGCGGGCUGUCAUGUUUCAUAGAGAAACAGGGGCACCCCUAUCCUACGGAAUUUAAAACCUUGUGUAUAUAUAUGUACAUAUAGGUAUGCAUGCAUAUACAUGUGUAUAUGUGUAUAUAUGUGCGUGUGUGUCUAUAUAUAUAACUUCCUUAUCAAAAAAACCCUGCCAUUUUAGAAUAUAUUAUGAUAUUUACAUACAACCCAAAUUUCAAAUGAUGUAGAAGCCUGCCGAUUUUGAUCUGAUUGUACAUAAAUAUCAUAGAUUAUGAACGAUCUUCUCUUGUCAACUCAUAUCCUUCCACUUCAAUAUCCAAAGACCAAUUAAAAGAAAUUUUUAAUGUGCAAUAUACAAAACCUCUUACUUUUCUAUCCUUUUUCCAUGCCCCUAAACUUUAGUUGUAUCUUUACCUGCCUUUUCUCCAGAUCUGCAUGGUACAUGUUGAACUUGUGUGCUAUUUGAUAUGAUGGCCUGGCUAUUGAAUUUUUUCCAUUUUAAAAAACAAAUACACUAAAUCUUGGAUUUAAUCUUCAAUCUUGAUGUGCUAGUAUUUCACAUUUUACCAUAGUCCAUCUUAUAAACAUCUCAUUUUAUUUGCAGCUUGCUUUGUUGUUUAGGCAGAUAUUUCUAAUUUAUUGUGUUGAUAUUGGCUUGGCCAGUUGUAUUAAGAGAGUCAUUGAAGAGCUGGUUGUGUAUGUUGUGAAUCUGUUGAGGAAUACCAUUAUUGAGUAUUUGAAGAUGUGCAACGAAAAUGAAUAUACAGCCAAAUUCAGUUCCAUUUAGGUUUGUCAAAGUGGGAAUAAUGGUUUCCCAUUGACCUUAACCCAUUACGUCAAACCUGUCAGGCUGUCACAAUCAGUUUCAAUCUUUGUUUUAACAGUUUUAGUGUUAGGUCACCCGUCACCCUAAGAUUUCAUGUUCGCUUAUGUUCGCUUUAUGGCCAUGCAGUCAUGUUGAUAAGCAGAUGUUCUCUUUGCAUCACUUCAAUGAAUAAGAUGCAUGAGCAUUUUAAAAGUAUGAAUUUUUCUGAAGACAUUUUGUCUGAAAAUAUGAAAAGUAGAAGUCAGAAUAAUUGCAUAUUUAAAAAGGCUUAUCUAAGAGUCAAAUGAGUCUCACCAGAAGCAUCUUGAGGCUUAGUGGUAAGGCUUUAUAUUGCAAAGGAUAGCGCUUAAGAUGUUCAUGUUAGGUGACACCUUGCACCUUUAAAUAAUUAUACGGGAGGCACACAAGUUGGGUCUGAAAAUUUAGCGAUCAAAGCAAACUGGACUUUGCUUGGUCGGAAACCAUCUUUGCCUCUCCACUUGGGACAGUUCCUGGGUACAAAUCCGGGCAGCAGCCUUCUCGUGCAAUUUCUAUGAAAAAAUAGGAAAAAAACUAUGACCGAACAAGAGGGACAAAAUUAUAUGUCAUGCGCCAUGCCUUAUACAUUUAGUAAAUAGGGUGUAGAAUUCUUUGGCCAUGCAGACUUGCUUAUAUUGGUUGCAUACCUGGUGUCCAUCUGUUGGCUGUUGUUAAUAAAUUGUUUAUGAAUAUAAUAAAAAUAAAUGUAGAACUCCACUUGAAAUUCGUGGGCAAAGCUUAUGUACAAAACAAUAAGAAUAAACAGUUAUUUAGAUAUAGAAUUAUCAACCAAUUUGUAAAAAUUCUGAAGUGUCUUUGGUGUAUUUGAUUCAGAAUCCAAUUUUACAAUUAUGUUCAUAUUAUUUUUUGUGAUCAAAGAAAUGCUUAGUAGCACCCUUAUUAUAAUACGCUGUGUAUUAGAAAAAAUAAAUAUUUUGUUAAAUUCUGUUCCUAAUCUUAAUUAAUUCUAAACCUGAUCUGCUUCAUUUGCAGGCACUCUAUACGGUGAAAAGGAAAGUUGAAUGGGAAGUGUAGAGUUUAUACAUGAUGCAGUCCUCAGUUGUAGCUUAGGUUCCCAAUUCACAUUUUCUUGUAUGUACUCUUCCAUGGCUGUAGUUAAAGCAGUAUACUUAUACACAGUAGCAACUAUCUUUCGAAGAUGCGAAGAACAUCUCUUACAAAAUUGAGGAAAAAAAAAUCUGAAGAAAAUGAUUCUAUUAUCACCUUCAAAUUUUUAUCUACUAAAUGUAGAGGGAUCCCUUGCUUGAAACACAUUACAGACACAGUAUUUUCUAGAAAUAUAAUAAUAGACCACCAUGACCACCAGUAUUUCCAGAAAUAUCAAUAAGCCACAGGAUCGGUAGAAUGGAAGCUAAACAUGACCAAACCCCCCCUUGCCCUCUUCAACACAGCAUAUUUCAUCAGCACACUCUCCCAUUGGAGCCCAACCUUCUCUAUGCUUGCAUUGCUGAUGCUUCUUUCAUGUUUACCAUAGCAUCCAUCUGAGCGUCAUCUUGCUUGCGACACUUGUAAACAUCUGUAGAUGACUUAAGAAGUGCCCUUUUUUGCAAUUUUUUUAACCUCUCCAAUCUCAACCACUCCUUCAAGACAUUAUCCCCUACCUUCUCCGCAGCUGCAAGCAUAUCCAUUAACCAUAGAGGGUCGAUGCAUGUUGUUUCCAAGCACCAGACUAUGCAUGCUGUUUUCCAGGCAUCAGACUAAUGAAGACCUAGUAUAUUAGAUGGCCAUCGACACAAAUGCACCGGUUCCAUGGAUGUGGUAUAAUGUACCAUGGAUGUGGUAUAAUGCAUUGGCCGACAGGUAGUCAAAGAAUUGACAUUGGAGAGUAUGAAUGGACAGAGUGAUCAGAGGGAUGGGGCUUGUCUUCUUCAAUGGGGAAUACUUGUUCCUUUUCCGCAUGUAGAAAAGCUUUUGUGGCAUUGGUAUGUCUAUUAUUCCUUGAUCUCUCAAUGAAUGGCACUAGAGUUGCAUAAUAAAUUUCCUGUUUGGCCUGCAACCGAAGAUCAUCCAAGGAAUGAUUGUCCUGACAAGGAGUCAUCUAGGGAUGAUGCAGAUGAGGAUCGAGACCCGUUUGAUUAUUUAGAAGGUUCAGAUUCUCAAUAUGAAGAAGAAAUUGCUGAUGCGGAAGAAGAAUCUGAAGAUGAACAGAAAAACAAAUAUCAUGGAGACCAUCAUCAUAACCACCCUACAAAUAAGUUCUGAUAAAAUUCACAAUGCCAAGUUUUUGUUAUAACGUACCAUUGUAUCGCUCAAAACCAAUUGCAAACUCUGUUUUGACGUAACAUUAUUUGAAGAGUCUGACAUUAUAAUUUGUUGUUAAAUGUUGCUCAGUGUUGUUGUAAAAGAGCAUGUAAACAUUUGAGUCAUGCAAAUGAUGAGAUGGAAGUAUUCACUGUAAAUCAGUUGCAAUUGGUUUUGAGUUCGACUGUUUUCUCAUGCACAUGAAAAUUGUAGUACAGGAACCACCCCGGACCACACAGAAAAUCGCCCCCAAUAUCAUCUCACCAAGAAUCUUAAUCUUUCGCAAUAAAAGAAUUCCCAUCAUUGCCCAUCUUUUGGAAUCUUAAGCCAAUAACUGAACCUGAUGCCUCCCACUUCUUUUGUUACCCCUACCAAUCUGUAGAAAUUGACAAUUUGUGCACCAGAUAGAACUCUACAAUCUUCUUUGCAUGAGUUCUCAAUCCUUGUGAACUUCAACCUUAGGAAUGAAAUCAUAGCAGAGUAAGAUAUUAUUUUUAGUUAUGUAAAUUCUAUGGUUUAUGUGAAAAUUUUCAAAUUCUCAAAAUACCCUUGUGCAAAAAUAUCCUUGUAAUAUUUUACUUUCAACCGAGCAAAUCCCUUCUAACCAUUUCUAGCCAGGUACGAAGAGAGAAAAUAAAAAUAAAUCAAAAUUGUUUGGUACUUGCAUUGUUCUUUUUAAAAAUAAUAUUUUCAAAAAGCAAGUUUUUCUUUAAAAAACAUGUACCACCUAAUAUAACUUUUCAUUAAGUGAAGAGUGUUUCGGAAAUAGCACUAUUGUAACAAUUAUUAUAGUUGCUAUUUCUUGUAAAUAAUAACAAUACAAGGAAAUUAGGGGCCUCAUCAAUCCAAUAAAGAAAACAUGUGUGAGCCAGCCAUAAUGAAUAAAAAUCUGUAAUUGUUGGAGCUUUGAACCUUCAUUUUACCAACCAUUAUAUGGCAUAGCUCAAGCUAUGUCAGCCUGCUCUUUUAACCUUAAAGAAAAUGGUAUGUGUUGAUAACUAUAUAGGGGCCUGCCAAUCAGAAACAUUCUAUUUGAUAGAAUCAAUAGUAUCCAUUCAAAUUAAUGACUUCAGAACAAACUCAAAAUGGGGUGAGACAUAAGGAAGAAAUAACAUCAAAAUAUCAAAAAGGUGCUCAUCGCAUUUCUUUUUCCUUUAGUCAGUCAGAAACAUAAAUACGUUCACUAUAUAUUAUUGUUUUUAUGUACAUAAUACUGUUACAAAAGGUACAAUGGCUAUGGUUGCUAAAAGAAUUUAAAACAGAGUAUAAUCUUCCUUCUAAGAUACCCAGAGAUCUUCUUUGCAUUCUAGUUGGUUGCCGCACUCAACUCAAAACCGUACCUCAGCAGCUCUUCCACUGCACCCAAUCGAAGCAAAUGAGGAAAAAAAAGUCUGGUCUCUUCAUGAAAAUGUGAAUCUUGAGAAGAGAGAACGGGGUGUAGAUGCAGUGUCAGAAAAUGAAGACGCCGGACUAGAUGAAGCAUCAUUUGAGGAGCGGUAUACUUGUUGGCAUUUCCCAAUCUGUAAAAGGAAUACUUGGUUAAGAAAUACAACGUAAAAGAUAAUCAUGCUUAUAAGGGAGUUGAUGAUAUUAAAAGGUAGCAUUUCUUAAUAGCAUUUUUUAAGAAAAUGGAAUUCAAUUAUUCUUCAUUAUCAUAUAGUGAAAUCAGGAAAAUGGUCAAAGGUUACAGGCAUCGGCUGUAGGACUUUUGAAUCAACCAAUUUAACCACAAUAGUAAGAGGAAUUUGAUGUGACCUCUUCAGGGCUGAAUUGCAAUAGUGUUGCAACCACAGGAAGUAAGGCUUCCACUUCACCUGCGUAAAAGGUGAUCUGCUUAAAUCCUAUGUUCAUUUAAGUCUUCACUUUACCUACCAGCCAUGGUGUACAUUUUUUUGAAGCAUGGUAAGUUUAGGUUUUCAGAUACCUGUUUCAAGUAGCUUCAAUAUCACAUUUUUAAGAUAUGUCAUAUCUAUCCCUUCUCGCUUCUGUGAUCUCUCCAUGUUCCGAAGCUCAGCCUUCAACAUCGCUUCCUGUAACAGUUGUGCAACGCCAAGAAAGAUAUUUAAAAAUUAACUGGACAAUCCAACUAAUCUGUUGAAUUCAGGCAUCACAUUUUAAAACCAUGAUGGAUUAUUUAAAAACAAAGUAUGACCAUGUACCAAUAAGCAAAUAGGAGAUGGUAAUCCAAUACCAUAUCCUGUCCUUUUGAGGUUAGUUUUCUGUCGUAGUUGGUUUUUGGUGUCUACCAAGUAUCAUGAUUAUCAACGUGCAACAGUCAUAUAAUCAAAUUGGGAUGAUACCAAAACAACUAAACAUUUUCACACUUGUUUAAACAAGGUUAUUCAGAAAAAGAUUUUAUUCAUAGAAUAUGAGGAGGCACACUUAUUUCAAAGUUCAGAAUGUCUUUGAAUGGGAAAAUAUUCAGUAAAUUCAUAGAGACAACUCAAUUUAACAUAUCCAUUAUAUUAGUUUACCAACUGUAAAAUACGGAUAAUUUGUCAUGCUUGGUGCUGAAAUUUCCAGAGCAAAACAAAAUUAUAUAUGGUAAUAUUAUCAAAAGCAAAUAAAAUGUUCUGACAUGGACUAGGAAGUGAAUAAGAAAUAUCAGUUGUGGCCUUGGUAACAUGGGAAUACUGAGAACUAGCCACAUUUUGAUUAAAAAAAGAUGCAAGUGGCUAAGGUAUGCCAAGCCGACCUGAAUUGCUUGGUUUGGGGCAUAUCAACCUUAAGCGGCUGGGUAUUGGGUCAAUUUGGCAGUCCUGAACCAGGCCGGACUGAGUAUAACUGCCUAAUUCUGCUCGGUCCCCCCACACCCACUCUUCUUCUCCGUCUUCUUUAUUUUCCUUUUUUCCUUUCUUACCUUCCUUUCUUUUUUUCCCUUUUUCUUCUUCCUUCGUUCCCUUCUUCCUUUCUUUAUAUUUCUUCUCCGUUCGUUCCUUUAUUUUUCUUCUCCAUUCCUUCCUUUCUUUCCUUUUUGUUCUUCUUCCCUUCCUUUUUCUUUCCUUUUCUUUCAUCUCCUUCUUUCUUUCUUUCAUCUCCUUCUUUCAUUCACUUUUUUCUUUCCUUUUUCUUCUUCUUCCCUUUCUUUCUUUCCUUUUUUUCUUCCCAAGGUAUGCCGUACGGCCCAAACUGGGUGGUACGGGGCAUACUAUACCGAUUCGGUACUGGUAUCUAAUAUGGAUAGCGUACCGAUACUCGGUACACCAAAAAAGCUCCGUACCAUACCAUAUUGACACCAUGCUACUGUGGCACUGGUACAAGAUUCGGUAUUGAAAUGGCAAACCUUGCUUCUUUCCUAGUAGCAGGCCACUAAGAAAUCAUAAUUUCCAGUACUCGCACUAAUUCGGAGUCUUACAACAUAAGAAAAGGAAAUAAUGGAACCAGUAAGAUUCUAACAGCAGACUUAAGAUCUAGGUGACCUAAGGAAGCAUUGAAGAUACUAACUAUGUAGUAUGUGCAGAAAGAAACUAGUAUUUUUAAUUAAAGUUCACAUGAAUUCACCCAAUAGACAACUGAUACCAAAAAAGCUGCAGUUGAUAGAAUUUAUACUCAUAUAUUUGAUCAUUAUCCGUCUCAUGCAACUAUACUAACUAUUGAUUAUAUUUUCUGCAACUCAUCUUGGUAGAUUCUUGAAUCACAUGCUGGCCUCCAUGAUCACUCGCACUAUACCCUUAUAGCUUCUAUUUAUCAUUUGCAUCAAGGCACCUCGGACCGAUUACCACUAAUUAAUGGUCAAGCAUCAUCCCAAUUCACCACUUAGGUCAUUCCUUCGAUUAUCCUCAUCCAUAUUUUACUAUAUAAUAGAUUACCAUCAGUGGAUACACUUUAUAUAAUAAAUUCAUUCAUCUCAUGGUAAACUCUAGGUUCCCAAUCCACCUUCAGCUUAACGAUAUUUAAAAUAUUUGAGUAGCUUAAAAAACAAACCUAUAAAAUAAAAUAAAAAAAUGAAAAAAAUAAAAAAAAGCCAAGAAUGUUGUUCUUCUACUGAACCAGUACACACUUGCAAACUGGGUGUCGAUAUGAUACAGCUUGGUGCUGUACCGUAUUGAUUAGGUACCAGUUUGAUACCUUACUGUAUUGGUCAGGUACUGGUAUAGCACACGGUACCAAAAUUAAGGACCUUGCAACCGAUCCUAUAAGCAUUCUGACUGAUAAUGCUGCUUCUGGAGCUACUGACAAGAUAACAUAUGCCAUUUUCUAUCCUAUGAACACAUGUCCAAAUUAAGCUUAUAGCCACAGUUCUUAUAGCUGCUGACAAUAAGAUGCCAAAGAAAGACCGGCCCAUUUAUCUGAAAUGUGUUCUCAAUAUUUUAUUCCUGCUCAGAGGAAGGAUAUAGUUGAUGGGAAAGUAUGAGGUGAACUUUUUACAUUUCUGGAGUGCAAGUACCCAUAGCUACACUUCUUAAAAUAUCACAAGUUAUGAAAGCAAGCCAAAUAAAUGCUUGACCUUUAAAACAACAAUAUUGUUAUUUCGUUUUAACUAUCUUGAAUGUGCCGUGAAUUUUUCCUUCUAGUGCUAGGAGAUUUAAGCUACCUUAAUAUGUGAACAAAUCACAUGCUUAUGCCUCAUUCAAAGGCUAUCAUUUCAUAGAGCAAACAUUAUGGUGCAUCAUGGAUGCACAGGUCAAGGCAUUCACAUGCUAUGCAUAUGCACUAUUUCCAGUAUCAUGUAACAAACAAUUAUCUAAUCUUAAAGCUAGCCUGAACAAAUAGGUUAAGGAUUGUCCUUCCCAUUUAUCUAAAUCUUAAGUUUUACUCCAUUUAAUGAAUUUUUUAAAAUGAAUUUUAAGUGAGUUCCACAAGGUUGUAAUCCAUGUAAUAAAGAAACAAAAGAAGACACAUGAAAGUAAGUUGUGAAAAAUCCAGAACUAAAUGUUGAAAGCAACAAAGGUCUGAGUAUGAGGAUUGGUGGUUAAGGUCAUCUCAUCUACAAAUUUCUGACUAAUGUAGUUAGUAUAUCUUGAAAAGUAUAACCAAUUUUUCAGGUGAAAUUGAACUCAAAAACCUCCCUAUCCUGAUAUUUGAGUAAUCAAUUUUCCACCCAAACGUACAUGAAUACACAUGGUGAGAAAAUGACGGACUUCUAACAGCGUGAGGUUAUUCUAAGAAAAAGUUUUAAGAUACCAUUACGUAAAAAAAAAAAAAUACAGAAGAUAGAAGCAAAUGAUGACUUCUCAACUGAUAGACAUGUAACAACAUAGAUACAAUGCCCUGCACAAAUGAUUGUCCAUAAACCUGUCCCUUUAAGGACCAGAAAUGCAUAAAGAUUUCCUACCUGUUGACUGUGAAGACGAUUUUCACGCUCAAGCUCCUCAAUCUCUUCCUGGAGAAGAGAGAGCAAAUCAGAUACUUUAAUUUACAUAUGGACAUAGGAAAAUACCAAAGUAUUUUUGAAGCUUACCUGAAGUGCUAAUAUAUGUCGUUGUGUCUGGGCAAGUUCUUCCUCUCUUUGAGCUUGCUGCCUAGCCAAAAGCUGAAAUUCACAAUGAUAUACGUAGAAUUUAAGAUGUCAAUUGUUUUAGUACAAUGAAAGCUGUAGGCUCACAGACUUUAUAUUCAGUAUUGUCAUUAUUAAGCAAAAUAAGAUAAAGAAAAUUUUGCAUAAAUAAUGAACGAGGUACAUAUAGAAGCAAAAAGGAAUAAUCAAAUAUGUUCUAGUGGAUGUUAUGAGCAAGACCAGCAUCAUAUAUUUGCAAACUACCCAUUUAACUAACUUGAUCUCAUUUGUACAAGAUAAACAAAGUAACCCUGGCACAGAGAAUGUCGCUUGAGCAAUCUCCUCAUUUUGACUCACUAGAUCCACACAAUGGAUCCUAGCAUGACAUUGUCUUCCAUUCUUAGCCUGAGCCGAUAACUUUGACCCUUCUCACCUAUAGCCACCCCCCCCAAAACCCCCUUGCGGCAAUCUCCUCAUUUUGACUCACUAGAUCCACACAAUGGAUCCUAGCAUGACAUUGUCUUCCUCUUUUCUUAUCAAAUCUCCUAGCAUAACCUUGCUCCUCCAUUCUUAGCCUGAGCCGAUAACUUUGACCCUUCUCACCUAUAGCCACCCCUAGGCUAGCUCUCACCACCACUAGCAUCUACUCUUCAUCAUCACUAUUAGCUCUCAUAUCUCUAGAAAACCCACUCUACUUAUGUCUCCUUAUCUAACCAUGAUGCUGACUGCAUCCAACCACUGUCCUUUGCUCCUUAGAUGGUAGGCCACACCCUCUUGUUGGCUCCCCAGAGCCGCUCAUUGUUCACAUCUUUCCCAUCUAACAUCACAAUUAGCUAAAUAGCAGAGCUUUGGGAACCUCUACUAACGCUCCUCCAAAUCUCAAUUGAUGUUACAUAAACAUAUCAUGUCAAUACUAAUAAUCGCACGAUAAGUACCAUAUUGUGUUGUGCCAUGAUGACCAUGACUUAAAUCUACAACCCAUUAUCUUAACCAUCAAUCCUAGUUCCAAUGAUUUUGUAAAACCUCAUAGCAAUAAGAUAAAAUUGACUCAAAAGUAAUUAAAACUAAAUAUCACCAAAUUAAAAUGGCAAUUAAUUACAAAAUAAACUUACCAGAAUUUGUUGUUCAGCUGCUGCGAUGUUUAAAUUUUGGGCAUCCUGCUUUGGAGCAGCUGAGAACUCAAAUGUGUCAAGAGUCUAAUAUCCACUAUUGGAUAUGAACAAAUCCUUGUGGAUGCGCAGAGUUACAAAUAUGUUUACCUGAAUUUUGUUCCUUGUUAUGGUCAACCUGAAACACAAUAAAGAUCAUAAUUUUUUUUCUUAAGACUAAGAAAUCCAUAAGUCACAAAUGCAGGGGAACCAAAAUAAUUAUAUAUAAUACUAAUGAUGCAAUUACUUCAGUUUCAAUAUGGAAGAAAAAAAGAACACAUAGAUUCUUGUUAAAAAUUACAAAAAGAAGAAUACAUUGUUCAUAAAGAAAAGCAGGACAAUCUUGUUCCACUAUAAUUUAACACACACACAAUACAUUGAUCAUGCUCAAAACAUUUAUGGUGUUUGUAUGCAAAAACUUUGGUCACCGGUUAGUAAGAAGUCGAUAUUACAUAGUCAACAUUGAAAAUAUAUUAUUAAAAAUUAUGUCUUGCCUGGUUGAAUUUUAAAUUAGAUAAGAUAAUGAAGCCCAAGGCUUAUGAUCCAAAAGAAUAUCAAGAACAAACACAAUAUUGUUAUUAGAAUUACAAUAGAAAAAGCAAAUAGAAAAAAGAUCAUUACCCAGCUAUGUUCCCAAUGAUCCAGAUUCCUGAGAGAGUGGACUAGGGACAAACCUAACCUUUGGUAGUUUUCACAGUUCACAAUAAGUGGCUGCCCCAGAGUCAGACUAUAACAUUGCACCUGUCAUCCCAUGACUUUGCCAUUGCACCAAGCAAUGGCCCCUAUUAGAAAGCAAAUAUUAGAGCAUAAAAUUUCAGAAAAUUAAACUGGGUAAUCCUUUUGACUCUUUUUUUUGGGUGCAAAUUCUUUUGAUUCUUUGACGAACAAAUCAUAUUACAUUUUCCUACACCACAUUCAUCUACACUCUUAAAUACUUGCAUGUUUCAGUAAUUUUGUUUAUAUGCCAGACUCUGUAAUUAUGAGAGUACGAGAACUAUGGAAAUCCAGGUUAAGACACCAUAAAUGCUACCACUAUGGUGAUACCAAAAUACUUCAUGAAUCAAGCAAAGGACAAUAUAGUUUUUUUCUCUAUUUUUUUCUUUAACUUCCUUGCCUCCUAGAAUGCAUGGAUACCUCAAACUGCAUGUUGUGACAGUAUCAAGUACUGAUACUAAUCGAAAUACCUUAGGGAUCAUGAUAGUCAUGUUAAGUCUCCUGUUGUUCCAAACUAAAAAAGUGCUGAGUACUUCCUAAAUACACUUGAUACUUCGCAAUACCUUCAAGAAUGAAGGAGGGCAUUUUUGCCUCCUUUUUAUGAACACUAACCUUUUAAAAAUAGAUGAACUAGAGUUUGUGAUAUUGAUAUUGGCAUAUAGAGUAUGGAUUGGGCUCUUGAAUUUGAUUGAUAACCAAAAUAUUAGUUUGUGGAAGUUCAUGCUAUCAUAUAAAGCAUGAACUAUUUAAUUUUUGUAACUCAAGAUGUCACCCCAAAGGGCUAGCUAGAAGGCUAUUAACUAGGAUCCUUGGCCUUGCUUAAGUACUCAAAAUCUCCCCAACGCAAACUUGAUGUCGGACUAAGCACAAGCCUGUUUGGAUCUUCAUACACUCCCCUCAUCUAUGACAUCCUCGCCAGGAAAGGAACCAAUCACAAACACCAUACUAAAGCUCAUCAUGGGCCAGGCUUGAGCAUAGAAAAUGUCAAAUUUUAAAUAGGCCCUGUCCAAAGCCUGACUAAAAGUGAAUAUAUUUAAAUGGCCUGAGGCCUGGCCCAUGAUUAGCUCUACACCAUAGCUAGCUUGUGGUCAGACCUAAAAAGCCUGCGCUAUAUUGUUCCAUAGCCACAUGGGUCAUAGGCUUACAUUACAGCGAUACAGGACUUCAGCAAAAAGGGCUAGGUAGAAGGUUAUUAAUCAAGGUCCUUGGCCCUGCUUAAGAACCUAAGACCUCAGUUCACACCAUUUGUCGAACAAAACACACACCAAGAUGGGUCUUCACACACUCCCCCCAUUUAAGCCUUGACAUCUCGCUAAAGAAAGGUCCAUCACAAACACCAAGAUCAUCUCAAGUCAGCCCUAAAAGGAUCUUUGUUAUAGUAUCCCCUAGCUAUAUACCAUGCAAUCCAGGACCUUAUCCAAAAAUGGCUAGCUAGAAGGUUAUCAAUUGAGGUCCUUGGCCCUACUUGUCCAAGACCUCCCCAAUGCAUACAAGAUGUGGGACAAAACAACUACAUGGUUCCUCAACUCUAACAACCCACUCUUCUUUACAAAUAUUUUUUCGCAUAUAUAUGUAGAAAACAAAUACAUUAAAUGUUAUAUCCAAAACAUAUUAUAUCUGGCAUUUCAAGACAUGCCAAUUGAAGCAUCCAUAUUGUGCCAUAUUUGUAUCAUGUAUCCAUGACCGUGCAUCAUACUUGCAAUGUUAGGUCUAACUGGUUUUAUAUAAUUUGUUGUACUCAAGGUUUGAAAUCUUGGUAUUGGACCCCAUACUAGCACCCAACCAAUACACCCUAUACCAAGUGUUUGGUAGGAUACAUACCCCAGUACCAACACUUGACUCGAGAGGCAUACUGAGUCUGCAUACCCCCCUAGUACACUAUGGUGUGCCUCGUACCAAGCGAUACGGUCGAGUACAGGAAAACAUAGUUGUACUGAUGACAAUACACCAACAUUGUUCUAAUAUUGGUUCUAGGCAACCAAAAAAGUGGAUAGAUGGCAGUAGGAUGAGAACGCGUUGUAAGAAAGGGUUGAACUAUGAAAUAAACCCCAUUUUUUUCGUAAUACUAUGUCAAUUUUUUAGGUAGAAAUGAUGCCAACUAAGGGUGAAAACUCAUUUUGACUCUCAUCUUGGCCCAUGACAAAUGAAAGAUGACAAAUUAAAAUUAAACAUCCCCAAAAAAAUGAAGAGUUGUUCAGAAGGCACAGCCGAUGUGAAUAAGACAAGAUUUCUUUAUAUUAGUUCUACCUCGUACAAGUAAUCUUGCAUUUACCUUCAAAUUCAUUUCAUUAUUUAUUUUUUUUCAAGAUUAAUUGACAUUAAAAGGUACGUUGUACCAGCCCGAACCAGACAGUGUGGAGCGUACCGUACCGUACCGGUACUCCGAUAUGUAUGGCGUACCGACACUCGGUAUGCCAAAAAAACUAUGUACCGUACCAUACCGAUACUAUGCUAGUAUGGCAUCAGUAUGUGAUCCAAUACUGAGAUACAAACUUUGAUUGACAUACUAUGGUUUCUUUAACCCCUAACCAAUCAGAUUAUUUGGCAUGCACAAAAAAAAACCCGAAAGAAACUUCAAAAAGAUUCAACUUCUCUCAAGUAGGACUGUAGUAGCAACUAACUAAAAGUGGAAUGGAUGAUAUGGGAUGCUAAUACCCAUCCAUCUUAUGCUGAAUAACGAGUCUGAGUUGACAAUUACAAGGGAAAAGCAUGAAAAGCUUAAGGGCAAUUGGUCGUUUCCUGCAAACUUCAGGACCCUGUUUAAGAAUAUUAUUUGCAGUUUCCUCGCUCAGCCCAAAUGGUCAAGUUGCUUGAGGAUUUUAUUUUACAAGGUUAAACUUUCAGAAUGGGUUUUCAGCAAAAAUCCUAAAGUACAGAAGAUUCAUGUACAUGUUUUUAUUAACAGUAAAAAGCAAAUGGCAAUGAUUAUAAUUCAGACAACAAAUAUAAAUGCUCGAAUCUAUUCAAAUAUAGAAAGAAAAUAACACACAAAAAAGGCAUUACAGAAGUAUGGUGUCAAUGCACUUACAGAUGGCCUCAAUUCCAAAGAGUGAUGAAGAUUCUUAUUAUCCUCAAUAAGUCUGGUCAUCUCCUUUUCUUUCCCUUCAAUUGCUCUAUCAGCAAUAUCACGAAAUGUAUAAUGCUCUUCCUAGAAUUUGACAAAGUCAGAAACUAAACAAGAUAGAUCAAACCAAACAUCUAAUUGCAAGUCCAAGAUACCUUGAGCUUUUCAUAUUGUAGUUUAAGAUCUUCCAACUCCUUCUGCACAUCAUCUCCAAUACAGUUAAUAUUUUGAGCCUCCAAUGUAUGAUAUUUCACUGCAAAGUGUAUACCUCUUACUUAUAUAUUAUUAACCAUAUUAACUAGACAGCGCUAUGUGUUUGUGCUUCUCUGUGUGUGUGGCACGCAUGCAUAUAUUUGUGCAUGUGCUUGUGCAGGCUUGAGAGAGUUUACAUCUCCAAUGUUCCUCUAUACUCUCCAAGUUUUUUUGCCAAGUUUCUUUUUCAGACAGGUAUUGAGAGGCAGCAGCAUCAAGUUUCAUAGUUACGUUUCUUAUCCGUUCCUCAGCAUCAUUAAUAGCUGCAUCCCUGAAAUCAAAAUUCAAUUGAAGAUGAUUCUAUCUACCUGCUGUUAAAAGUCUGCAAAACAUUUGCAAUCUAUUAAAAGGUUUAACUGGACAACCUGCUGUUCUGAAAAGUUCAAACAAAUUUCAAAGAAUAAUAGAAAAUUGGUCCCAGAAUAUCAAGGUUUUCGGCUAGCAGAAUACUAUGUUUAGCUGAUAAAUAUGUUAAGAUUUGCCAAAUGAAAUGAUAUCUGAAGGUGGAAAUGUUAGGACAAAUCCUCAAACUGUCCACAAGUCAUCAACUGCAAUUACAACAAAAAUAUGUUAUUUGAGUACCAAAUCAUUAUUUGAUACAAUAAUAUAUUCAGAGCUUGAUUAUUACUAAUGGGUUAUCUCCUAUAUUUGCAUUCUAACUCUUUCUUCUCAAGGAAAAGCAAGGUGUGGUAUAAGGGUGUUUCCCCAUGGCAUAAAAUCCCCAAAUCUUGACACUGAACAAAUUUUUCUUGCCUUCUAGAUUUACAAAAAUUCAUUUUGCUUGUAACACUUUUUAUUCCAGACUUGAGAUAGAACAAAAGAAUAUUGGGCAUCAUGACAGCGAAGAAGCAUUGCCUGAUAUUACUGGGUCGAUGAGCAACAUAGCCAGAGAGGCAGAAAAAAUUUACUUAACACAAGAAAGAAGCUAUAUGAAUUAGAAACAAAGAUUCUCAUCAAGAUUAGUCAGAUGACAAGGAGCACAAAGAUACUAAAUUGUUCUCUGGCCUUCACAUGGGAGAGAAUCCAAUCAAUUGUUUGUGCCAUUCAAAAAAUGAGUAUACUUGGACUCCAAUAGCAAGGCUAUUGUUACAAUUAUAGACAUAGAUGGACAUAAGUCUCCUAGACUGCUCACCAUGAUUUGUCUAUGAGAUCAUAUUCUGAGAGUUGACUUCCAUAACACACUUCACAUGGAAACAAAGUCAUGGGUCAAACUGAUGGGGACUUAAAAUUUAGCAUAAUGGUCAUGGUAAGCAGGAAAAGACCAUACCUAAGACCCAAAAUAAUGGGUGAUCACAACUCAGCAAUAAGGCCUUCAUCUAAACUUAGUUUCUGGCAAGCUGCCACCUUCAUUGGUAAGAAAUAGAAAUAUCAUGAGAUUACUUCUCUUAUAACUUAACUUAUGGUCCUUCUCUGUCAAUUCUACUAUUUUGGCAUUUCAGCUUUGACAGAGUAAUUGUUCAAUGUUCUACAUCACAGAGCUUCUCUAACAAGAUUAAUCAAUGUGAUUAACCUUCGUCUUCUCAGAGAGAAGCCUUUAGACCACAUGUGGAAGUCAAGUUAAAAGUUAGAAACAAACAAAUGUUCCGCAGAAUUAAUCGAUCCUCUUCCAUUUCAGAAUCCCUCCCUUCUGUGGAUUAUCCCAUGUAUACAAGAUUUUGAAUCCCUCACUUCUAGGCCAAGUUAAAACCACCUAAUAUAUCACUUAAGGUUCUAAAUGGUUAUCCUUGUACACAUGGUCUCUCAUGCCUUGCUAUCACAAUUCCUUGUACAAUUUACUCCAUAUUCUCCUUCAACAUGGGACUGAUUUUUCCAAUGAAAUUGAUGUGACAGCCCAUAAACCUUCUGAAAACUGCUAUCAAACCAGACAAUCAGAUAAUAUGAUAUUACAUCAGCCCAAAAAUCUCAGUUUAAGAGAUCAAAACAACAUCUUGUAAAUGACUAUAUUUGACAUAACUUGGAGAAGAAACAUACCACCAUCUUGUCAAGGAUAAUGUUUUAAAGAACUGAUUUAGUAUCCACCUAUUUGUUCCUGUGCAUGCCAAGUGCCAACACAUUAUACCUAUUGUCUUGGUCCCUAGAAAGCACAGCCACAAUGCAAAAUGCUCCAACCAUACUGAUCUUGUUUUCUUGAAUAAUGGUUUGGCAUUAUCUUUGGACUGCUACCCCCCCACACACACACCCCAUUUUUUGUGAAUCUCAGAAUUAUGUUGCCUUUCCAGAAGAAAAGAAACAUGAUCCAAUUUGCUGACCUUUUUAUUUUAAAUUAUUGCAAGUAUUCAUCUUGUAACAACCUAGGACCUCACUCAAAAUGGCACGCCAGAAGACUAUCAUUUGGGUUUCUUGGACCGGUAUAAGUGCCCAAGAUCAAUCCAUUGCUAAAUAGAAGUGGGAUUAAACACACACCUGUAUGGGUUCUCACAUAAUCCCCCAUUAAAGUCCUAGCAUCCUCUCUAAGCUCAAGGUUCAAUUAAAUCCAAUUGCAAAUACCAGGAUCGGCCUAUAGUUAGCCUCAAAAGGAUUUGUGUUGCAUUGUCUUUUUGUUUGCAUGGCUGUUAGCCAAGUCCGCUCAAAUACCAUUUGUAACAGCCCAAGACCUUACUCUAAAAAGGCUAGCUAGAGAAUUAUUAUUUAUUUCAUCAGCCAUGUAUAUGUACCUAAGAUCUCCCAAGCACAUAAUAGAUGUGGAGCUAAACACAUGCCCACAUGGGUUCUCACAUAGCCCCCCUAGAACAAAUAAACAAUAACGAUUACAAGUUUAUCUCUGAACAAAUUGCAUAUUCUUUGUUUGAAUAUAGAGUUACUUUGCAAUAUCCUUACCCAUACAUGAUGUGGCUCAAUGAACACAAUGUUUUCCCCAUUAUGGAAAUAGGACUUGCAUAUUGUUUCAUAUCAGUGUUCCCUCACUCACAUAACACCAAAUCCACUAAUAAUACUAUUAUUAAGGUCUACCGAACCAGUAUCAGAGGUUGUACCAGCCGACUACUAGUUUGGUACGAUAUCAGCAAUACCGUACUGGCCUGUGGCAUACUAGAGCUAGGGGGGGAAGAGGGCAAGGGGGGGAGGAGAGAGAGAGAGAGACGGAGAGAGGGAGGGAGGCUGAGAGAGAGAGAGAGAGAGAGAGAUGGACAGGGAGAGAGGGAGGGACAAGCAGAGAGGGAACCCACUAUCGGCUCAUUGUUCACAUUGGUAGCGAUGAUACUGAAAAGUCGAAAACCUUGGCGACAAGGAUCUUGACCUUGCAAAAGAUCAUGAGCAAGAGGCUCGCGCAUGGCAAGCACGACUCAAAUGAAUCAGGGUAGGAGGCUUUAAAUGUAAUAUUAGGUCGAUUCAACCUUCGAACUGAGUCAAACUACUCAAAACCAAGCGGAAUCGAACAAUUCUGACAUCGCUAGUUAAUCGUCUAGAUAUGUCUGUUUGUCAUAUAGAACAUUUUAGAAUAACAUAGGCAGCAAAUAGUAGCCACCUAGCACCUGCACCCAAGGUCAGCCCAAAAAUGAUAAAUUAGAGAUCUAAUGAGUAAUGAAUAUGAUGAGAAAUACAAAAUCAAGGUUCGUCGUCUCGGUAUUAGAUCUCGGAUUGGUACCAUCCUAUUACAGUAUCGGUAUGCAAUUUAGUAUGAUACACUAGGCAUACCGAGUGUCGAUUCGGUAUGACAUAACGUACUAGUUCAGUACCAGUACAGUACGGUGCCGACUAGUACGACAAACCUUAUGUAAAAUUAUAGUUAUAAGAAAAAAAUAAAAUGAUAUAAUACAUAUCAAAAAAGAUGUAGCAAGUCAAUAAGAAGUGCAACAUGACUAUUCAAUACUAAUAAGAUGCAAAAACAUUGGGGUUGGCACCUACUUGGCCAAGGAGACAGUUUUAAAAGUAGUGGUCGUACAUGGAAACCUAUUUACCUUGCAGAAAUUUCUUUAUCAUGGUUGACCAAAGCAUCUUGAAGAUCGUGGAUAGCUUUGUCCCUUUCUACUAAUGCCAUAACUACUUCUCUUUCGGCUUCCUAAAGUAAACAAAGGGCACAAUAAGCGUAACAUGGAAACAAAAAUUUCUUCCAAAUGCAUUUAAGGUUAUCAUUAGGCUGUAAUAAUGAAGAAAUUUGCAUACUCUGAUUGCUUCCUCCUGAGCUUUGAUUAAUUCUGAGUUCUUAGCUGCAGAAAGCUCAGCAUCCUUCUUUUGCAAAAGUGCGUGUGCGCGGACCUUGUAUGCAGAAAAUUCACUUUCUAAACGGUCGAUCUGCAAAAAAAAAUAGCAAGUGAAACCACCAUCCAACAAAUGAAUAGUAUAUAAUUUGAAGAGCAUUUUCCUAGUAUAUAAUGUUAAAUAACACCUAUUAUGGCUCCAAAAAGAUGUGCAUUGAUCUGUCAUACAAUGGAGGCCUUUGACAAAUAAAAGUUUGAAAUCUUUAUGGAGAAUUGUUCUUAAAAUUAGUUUCACCUGCUCACUCAAUCUAGGACUCAAAAUAUAAAUUUGAGACUACAAGAUUAAAAGAUGAACUAAAAAAAACUGAAUCUAGACUAGGAGUUAAAAAUUCUGAAACCAUUCAUUUCCACUCAUUGAAUAACAUUUUGUACAAUCUCAGCAUAUUAUAUGCUGCUAUCAAAGGUAGAUACUUUGUAGGGAAACAUGACUUAUUCUAGAUGAUAUAAGAAGGCAGACAAACUAAAACACAAGCCUUCUCAUCUAUUAGAACUCAGAAGGGCUAGAAGAAUGAACUAAUCAAUUAAAGGAAAUCCAGACAGCCAACUCAAUCGGGAGACUAGGAACAUCAAUAUCAAGAGUUUUUUCAUAAGACCUUACUAAAACAAUUAGUAUGGUCCAUGAGAAUUUGCUAGAUGUUAUGCAUGUCAUGUGAAGUAAUUGUGGUGGAUAGGCUUGUUGCUUUUAUGAUAUUCCUUCUAGCCAGCUUACAUGAGGCAUAACUUUGAUGAAACCCAGUAACUCAAUUUCCUUGACCUUAUGCUUCAUAUAAAUGUCCUUGUGAUUUAGUCAGCUAAAGGUAGUGAAAGAAUGUAAACAGGUAUGGAAUUCACUGAAAUUUGGUACAUAGAAUUAUGGGAAUCUUUUCAUUUUUCAACUAGACCUCUUCAAGUAACUGGAUGUUGAAGAAACUUUCAAAAAAUAUUGACCCAUAAUGGUGUCCAUAAUUGUUGAUUCUGGUACCUUAAUCAUGUCAAGGAAUUUAAGUCAUGGGUAUAAACACAGAAUAAUCCGAGCAUAAAAAAAUGAUGUACAGGAUUCACAGUUUUUAAAUGAACCAAUUAUGUGAUACAUAUGUUUAGAAACAAUUAUAUUCUUUGUUCUAAGGCUAUAGAAAAACAUUUCAAUUAGAAAAAAAUAGGUCAUCAAAUCGAGUCCUUAUGUACCUCUAGUAAAUCUUUCAAAUGAUUUAAGUACCUUCUAUGUAAUUCUGUGCUAAUAUUCAGCAGAACACAGUCUAUUACUUUCAAAGUAACAAAUACUCGCACAAUAUGCAACACCAUGGACCUUAGCUGAGAACAUUCAACACAAAAAACACUAGGCAUGUAUAGACAAACAUUUCAGAGGUCAUGCAAGAGCUAUAGUAAAUGUGCUGCAAGGAAGUUUCAAUAACACAGAUGAUUAUAAUAUUUGCUACCAAAAAUUAACCUUAUGAACGUAGAGUUUCCAAUACAUCAGCAUAACACAGUACAAUGAGUUUAUCAUAUGUUAUAAACAACUUAUUUCAUGAGUAAAAAGACUAUGAAGUGAGUUUUACACAACAUCAAGGACUUACAUAACAUAUAAGUGAUCAAUCAAAAAUAAAAUCCAGCAUAAAAAACUAAAUAAUGGAUACUAAUUAAAGAUAUGUGAAACAAGAAGAUGCCAACCAACCGAGUUGGUAAAGCCUCUUGUCUUGAUAGACGAAAUCUAGGUUUGAUCCUGACCUCACUCCAAUAUUCCCCAGCUGAGCAUCCACCUAUUCUACUUGUGAAAAGUAAAUCAAGAUUCAAAUUUAAUGUUUUUGCCACUAGAACUGAGCUAAAAUUAAUCUGUGAAACUCAAUUUUGGCAGCUUUAAUAGGUUUCAGCUGCAACCAGCCGUCACAAGCAAGCCAACAGCAGCUCAUUCUUAGGCAGGGCUGCAUGUGUGUUCACACAUCGUCAACCAUUUGUAAGCCCCCUUUUUCUAAUUUCACAUUCAGAGGCCAGGUUUUCAUGUUUCAGAGUGAGCAUUCCAUUAUUUGACUGGAUUUAAAUGCAUUUAAGACAAAUCUCUUGCUGGGUUCAGCAAGAAGCCAAAAUAGGUAAUUUGCUUAAACUGAACACCUUUUAUUUCCUUACUUGGAUCUAUGGAAGCUAACAAAACACAGUAGAAUUUGCUUACCUACAUGAAAUCCAUUAGUUUGGUGUGAAUUUCGUGCAACACACUCUUUUACGUAGAUUUGUUUUAGAUUUUUCUUUAAAAGAAAAUAUAUAAUUCUUGAAGAGGGUGUUUGCUAAGUAGUGUCAUGAAUGUGAUUGCCAUAAUGCUGAAAGAAGUUAUAUGUCUUGGAGACUAAUCUAUAUGACAUUUUUACCGGAUUAUUGGAUUUUAACAACAUUUUGGCAUAAAAUAGAUUUAUGAAAUCUAAGAUUUAAGAAAUAGCCUAGCAUUUAAAGUUGAAUUUUUGACCCGAGGCUAAAAAUCUGUAGUUUGAACUAAAACUGAGAAAUCAACUGUUAUUGUUAGAGAAUUGGAAUUUUUAAGUAUUUUUUGUGAAUUCAAAUAGGGAGUCCUUUCUUCUUUACAUAUAGUGACUUAAGUAAAUAUCUCAUUUACUUGAAUGAUAGCACAUGCAAAUAAGCUUGCCUCUGGCUAUCUAUCCCUAUCCUGAUCUAUCUGCCGUAAGGACUACAAUCUCGACACUAGACACCGUAUCGGUUCCUUAUUGGUUUAGUACAAUACGCCUCUGUACUGAAAUAGCUUUCUAACUAUUUUUCUCAAUUUUUUAUCUCGGUACGCCUCAAUACAGGUUGGUACACUUCGGUACGGGCCAGUACGUACCUCGAUAUACCUUAUUACGGCUUGGUACAGAUCGGUAUACCUUGAUACGCAUUGGUACAGGUCGAUAUAUCUUGGUACGCCUUGGUACAGGUUGGUACACCUCGGUACGAGAUGGUAUGUCUCUGUACGAGGCGGUACAAGGCUUGUGCCGAAGGCAUGGUGGUAGAACCGAAGGAUGAGUUGUGUUGAUCCACGUCCAACAGCAUUAUCCAUCUAUGGGGGACACAGAAGAAAUAUUAUAUGAUCUAGUUAGGUGAUAAUAGGCGAGGGUAAAAAUGGAUGAAACAAUUCAUGUGGGCCCCACUUUCAAAUAUUAUUUAUGGGUCAUGCUGAUCCAUGGAAGAGAUAUCAUACGAUCUAUAGGUCAUGUGUUGAUACAAGUUCCAUAGCAUCACGAUCUAUGGGGCCCAUGGAAGAGAUAUCGUGUGAUUUGAUUCAACUGGGUGAUAACUCUGGAGCGUAAAAGUGGACAGAACAAUUCAUGUGGGUCUCACUUUCAAAUAUCAUGUAUCCAUCCUAAGUUCCUAACGAUGUCCAGAAGGGAUCCAUCUGAUACUUUUCUCCAGGGAAAAAUCAUCCACUCAACUAUAUAGCGAACAAAAGCAAAAAUUAACCUACGAAACAGAAGAUUUUAUGGAAGUGGCAUCUUCCACAAAUUUUCUUGUAAUUUACUCUUUGUUUUUUUGGAUUUUUUUUCCUUUUAGAUAUUAACUACCCAGAAAAACUGCCGAUACUACCUACGAAACAGAAGAUUCGAUGGAAGUGGCAUCUUCCAAGAAUUUUCUUGUAAUUUACCCUUUGUUUUUUUGGAUUUUUUUUCCUUUUGGAUAUUAACUACCCAGGAAAAACUGCUGAUACUACCAGAACCAAUGCCCUGGUGGAGUCUGAAAGCAAAUUCUAGCUUUUGAGCCUUGACAUUAAAUGCUAUCUAAGAGGGCAUUAGAUUCAAUAUUUAUGUAAUUCACUUGCUAAUAGAGUUGAUGUACCUCAUCUUUGGCAGCCAUAAGUUCAGCAUCUCUUGUAUUCAGUAAUUGAUUCUGCAUAGAUAACUCUAAUUCCAAUUGACCUGUAAAGUCAACAAGAGUUGUGUUAUCUCUUUAUCCUUAAACUAAAUAAUUACAGAAAUACAUAUAAUUUAAAAAAUAUACUUCUCAUUUUAGCUGAUUCAAUUUCAGAUCGUAGGCAGGCACUCUCAGAUGCCUCUAGCUUAGUUCUAAGCGUUUGGCAUGCUACUUCCCAACUCUGUCGCUCUUUUUCCUGAAAAAAAAAGAGAAAAGAAAAGCAGAGAAAGAGAAUGUAAAUGACACGAGGCUAAGCAAUAAGAUAUACAGUUAAGGAUUGUCACUCAGAACAGAUAUAACAAUCACAUAUGAAAACAUGAGCCUGCAGAGAGAAAAUUUGCAUAUGGGCAUCGAUUACGUGUUGGAGCUCUAGACAACUGCAAUCAUCUAGAAAUCUUAGAAAAGAGAGAGAAACAUGCAUUUAUCGGUAAAAAUAUAGUGAUACUGCUGAAUGGCUCAUUAUUGGAUUUUACAUUGUGUUUAUUGGUUAUUUUUUACAUACUUUUAUCUCCGCUUUAUGUCAGUCACCUUUUAUACCAUCUAAUUAUUUUUACAAAACAAAAGUUGCAAAUCUCCCAGAUAAAUGUUCAUCAACAGGCAUGUAAAGCUGAAUUAGGUGGAAUGUUAUAGCAUCAUAAAUGUCAUAAAAUAAUAAUGGUAUGCACCUGAUGUAUGCAAAGCUCAAACAUCCAAAAAGGACAGUCAUUUUCUAAUCAAUAUUGCAAUUUAAUUAUUAGCCUACUUAACAGUGGGUGAAGAUGCAGAUUUGAACGUGGGAGGAAGGAAAGUGCUUUAUGCCUUUAUCUAUAUCAAGAUAAAUGCCAAUAGACAAACUAAAACAUAGUGCUUUAUCUACAUCAGCACUUGUCAAACUUUUCAUCAUUCUUGGUACAUGUCAAACUCUUUUACUAUUCACAUCAAAGAUUUGCACUAUAAUUGGCAAGAUCCACAGAAGAAAAUGAAGUAAAAAAGAGUCACAAAUCAUUAGCAUAUGAACCUUUUGUAAAUAACAUACUGUCAAUCUAUGACAAUGGAUUUUGCCCCAAGUCUACUAGUGAAGAAAAGGGGAGAGCACCAUGGCAUAUAUUAGCUUACAUGUUAUAGUUAUUUGACAUCGUCAAAAAAAUGUACAAUUUUUAAUAAUAUAAUAGAAGAAUAUCACAUCUAAGUGCCCCCAAAUACUAACUUUUCAUAUUACAAACCAAAAUAAUGAAACAUGCCUAAGAACCAUGAUCUAAAAUAAUUAUUAUAUUAUCACAACCCUAUUACAUUGUUUAUAUAUAGAACAUGUAGAGAUAGAUGAAGAUUUUCAAUAAAACCAAAAAAGCAACAUAAGUCAAGUGCCUACAUGCCAAUGAGAAUUGAGAAAAAAAUUCAGUAGAGAUAGGCAAGGCUGGAGGUUUUCUGACGGUCAGGAUGAUUGGAAAUUAAAUUGGUGAUGAUAUUAUCAACAAAUCAACAGAAUAUGGACAUCUUCCAUUUCUGGAUUUUUUUUAAAGGUUUGCAUGUCCAACUCUUCUGGACAAUCACAUCAAGUGGCCAGGAAACAAUGCCUGCUAACAUCAUAGGAAUUGUAAAUCAGGAAGAAUAUGGCAGAUCAAAAAGUUUGCUGCAAAUAUAUUUAGAUUUCUGUCGGCGUACAAGAACAUUGGAUAUUUUAUCAUGAAAUACCAACCUUGGAUAUCAACAGUUCUUUAAUAGCUACUCAUGGAGUGUAAAAGUCAGAAGCUCAAAGAUUAAUGUAUACUAAGGUGAUGAAUAAUGUCUUUAAUGUCAGCUGUUGGUAUGUUUAUGAUUUCUACCAGAUUAUAACCUAGCGACUGUGCCCCCCAACUCCCACAUAUAUGAGCUUCUCAUUACAAGUCAUCUUAAGUUCAUUUCCACCCAUGCCAAUCCACUGCCAUUAAUCUUAUCAUUCUCUUCCCUUCUCCCAAUUUAAGGCUCUCUUAAAAAAUGAUAGAAUUUUCUCAAUAUGUUACCAGUAGUUUAUCCCUAACUAACCAAAAAUAUAAAUGACUAAAUGAAUAUAUUUCUCCCUCAUACAUGUUGGUCUUUAAGAUGGUUAAGUUCUCCUCUCACUUCCUCCAGUGCAGCUCCAAGUCUUACAGCUUCCCCAGUUGAAGCUGCAUCCAUCUCUGCAAUUUUUGAAUCUUUCUCAGCUAGUAGCAUCUGCAGAAAAAUAAAAACAAUCAAAUAUGAGCCACAGUUUGUUCCCAGCAUUUAUCAAGGUACUUAUGUCUUAAAUAACUGUCCUUCAGAAAGCCCAUUUGCAGAAAACAUUAAACAAAGCAUAAGGAAAGCCAAAGCAAUCCAAGGAAAGCCAAGGAAGGCCAGCAUUCACAAUGACCAAGAGCAAGUGACCUCCGUAUUUUCAAUAAAAUUACAUCACAAAGUUCAGAUACAAGUACACAGGUUAACAAACUAAUUAUUGCUUUAUUCGAUUCAUCAUAUUGUUUCUGCAGUUGAAGACGAACUACUUGUUCCCAUAAAAGAACUGAAAAAUUCUCGAAUCCAGCUUGACCAUAACUAAAUAUUGAAGUUAAAAAUGCCAAGGAAAUAAUCAAUUUCAAAAAGUUAUUGAAAACACGAACUCGAUAAUUAGUUUCUUAAAUUAUUAGGGUGAUCAUCUGAAAGCCCUUAAAUGUGUUCAUCCCUUUCUCAAUAAUAAGUAGGAUGUAAUAAUACUGCCACAUGCAUCAUGAUCCUAUGGAGUGUAGCAUACUGAAACUUCAACACAUACCAUGCCAAUUAAAGUUAUGAGUGGCUUCAGUAUAAAAUCUUCAAGUUGGUGUGAUAUUUGUGGAUAAAAAUAAAGCACAAUGAUUUACAUAUGCACGAAAACUUGUAGGUGUGUGAUUUUGAAGGGGAGAGAGGAGAGGAUAAUGGGCUCCAAACUUACAAUCUUGAUAGUCGGAACAUCCAGUGGAUGCUAUAUACAAUGGGACUCUGCAUCAUGGUUCGUGAUCUAUACAUCUUAAAAUCAACGAACCAAAUUUUAACAAGUUUGUAAACUACCGAAUAGAUACUUUCAGAGCUUCUAAGCUGUUGACCAUGUGGUCACAAAAUGAACAGUUUCUCAAAAACCAACAUCUAGAUGUAUACAUGGAGUGGGACUAGUUGAUUUAAAUAUUUUUGAGUAUGUGUCCAACCAAAACUUUGUUGCUAGAUACCCAUUUUCUAAGUAACUUUCGUCAUCUCAUAAGGGAUCAGGUGGAGUCCGAUCAGAUCCUUUUUUAGACUUAAUCUGUUUGGAGGUUCGUCUUGUUUGGAACUCAAAUCGGUUCAAUAUGAACAGAUCACAGAUACAGAUAGAGCCAAUGUGGUCUGGUGCAGGGUGGAUCUGGGCCUGUGCAAGUGCAAUCCACAUGUAUCACUAGUCUCAGUCACAUUAAAAUAACUACAUCAAUAAAGAAUUGCGGUCAGACUGCACAACUUCAAGGUUCUGAAAUGACCUUGACCAGAAGACCUAUGAGUCAGCACUUCAGGGAGUGUAAUUCACUCUCUUCUAAAACACAUAAAGCAAAACCGCCUGGUACAUACUAUGUAGUACCUGGAGAGAUGAGAUUGUUUCAGCUGCUUUGCUUCUCUCUGAUUGAGCAUCAGCAAGUUGUGUUUCCAAGCUUUCUAGUUGCUGCAGAUGAAGAAGUAAAUAUGAAAGAUAUAUGGCCAAAAUGUGUAAAUUAAACUCUUUUAACUGGCAUACUAGACCGAACGGCACCUAAACCAACAUCUUUUACCUUUUGGUGCUUAGUAGAAAGCUCUGCUAUUGAUGCUUGCCUCUUCUCUUCUGCAGCUUGCAAUGAACCCCGAAUUUGCUCUAACAUCUAUCAGAAAUUUUUAUUAGUAAUACUAGGAUUAUCUCAAAAAUCAGUUCAUAUUUUGACUGCAAAACUAAAAUAAAAAAACAAAAAUAAUAAGACUUAAAAAGUUCGCUGUAUUGUAAUUGUUAAUGUUACUGUAAAAAUUAAUCUAUGGCAUUGCAACAAGUGAAUGUUAAAGAAUGUGAGAAACACACACAGAUCUAUAUAUUUAUUCAGUUUGACAUAUGUCAAAACAAACUAAGCAUUUUCUGCGAGCUCCUCUUGCACAGUACCAAUUACUACAGAAUUCCAAUUGAUGGAAAAAAGGUGACAUAGUUUAAGAGUUUAUAUAAACCCAACUUAAUAAGAGAAAUAAGCCUAUUUGGUACUUCUUUUGAAGAUGAAAAGCACUUCUUGGAAGGCCAAAAGCUUUUUCGGAUGAUUUUGAAGUGUUUGGUAAAAAUUUUGAAACAGCUUUCUGCCUCCUCCAAAAGCUAAUAAAGGUCUACUAAAGAAAAGCUCCAAUUUGCAGCUUCUAGGUAAAAGCUCUACUUGAGAUGCAUUGAGAAGCUGUUUUUUAGGCAAAAGCUCAACCAGGAGAUCCAGGUUCAAAUCCCAACAACAGAAUUUUUUAAAAAAUUAAUUGAAAACUCUUUAUUGCCAUAAUCAUUUAAGUUGGCGUCUUUUUAUUGCCAUAAUCAUGCAAUCAAGGAUUUGAGUUUAAUCUUAUGAUGGUGAGGAGGAUCUACCCCCUUCUAAUUGUUAAGAGAUUGAUCAAUCAUAGGGAAAAUGAAGCACAAAUCAAAGUCAAACAUUAAAUAACAAUGAGAUGGAUGUUUUGCGUGAUCAUAUUGCGAAUCGUCUUAUGAGUCGUGGACUUGUUGUUUAGGAUAAUUAUGCUUGUAACAGAUAUUGAGAAAUAUUGGUGAAUAUUUAUGUCGCUAUUAUGAUUGUGAAUAUAUCAACAAUUUUAUUGCCAUUUUGUAACUAGGUGAACAAAGUCAAACAUUUAUGAUAGUACCAUAUAAAUAAUAUAAUAUAACAUAAUAUAAUAAUAUUAUAUUAUUAUAUUAUAAUCAUAAAUAAUACAAUAUUAUUAUAUUAUAAUAUAAUAUCAUUUGAAUACUAUACAUUGAAAUAACAAGGUCAUGUUUUUAUAUAAUAACUAUAAUAUCAUUAAUAGUUUGAUAAUACUAUAAAUAUUAUCAUAUUUUUUAUUAAAUAUAAAAAAAUUAUUUAGAUUAAAAUAUCAAAAUAAAUAAUUUAUAAAUUUUUUGAUACUAAAAGUACUUUCUCAGUUCGGUUACUAAAUAGAUGUUAAAGUUUCACAGCAUUUCAAAAAUAUACUUACUAAACAGUAAAAGUCUUUUUAUUAAAAGCUCUACUACCAAAAAUUUACAGACAAAAGCUCUACUACCUACAGCAAUGCCAAAUGGGGGCUUUGUUGUAUCUGAUUAUGGAUAAACUAUAUGUUACUUUGAGUUAAAAAUCUGCCAUGAAGUGAAUACUUCCAUAAGUAGACCUACAUUAGGACAUUUAUAUUGAUUGUAAUAUAUGUAAAAUAGUUCAUAUACACGAAUAUCAUUAUAGUUGAUAAGUUAGUUGUUGUUUUUUUUUUCAUUUUUGCCUUCUUAUUUUAAUUGAAGAUAUGUGAGUCAUAGUUUUAAACCCAGGGUUUCAUGCGUUAUGACGUAGAUGAUUAUUCAUGGCAUUUCUUGGUGAGAACUUGCUUAAAUAUGGGUGGCAAAUGGUCAAAUUCGUGGUAUGCUAAGACAGGAGUAUCUAACCAUGAUAGUCAACCCAGACCCAACCCACCUAACAAACAAGUCAAAGCCUUAAAUCUAAAGGCAGACAUGGACAUAAAACACAUACUCAGUAAAGCAACAUCUAACCCUUUUGCAUGCUAACCCACCAAAACAGACCAAAAUCUAGAAGGAUGAAAAAGCCAUGCUAGUAGGGUAGCUAUAGCUAUCACCUCUUCCGCACAAUGACAACCAUCAAAAAGUGACAUGAAGAGUAGAAGCCAUCUUCCUCUUUUUUUGCAUCAUUGUACUCAAUCUCUUUGCCAGAUUUUUGAUGUAUUCAAAAAAUAGAUUGAUGGUGAGAAACAAGGUACACCAUCUCGGUACCGAACCCCAUAACGGUGCCACCUUGUUACUAUGUUGGUAUGCCUAGUGCAAACGCCGGUUCGGCAUACGGAAUGUCAGUACACCCCCAGUAUCACGUACCGAUAUCGAACUGGUAUGUACGGUACAUCCCAUACCGUCUGGUUCGAUAUAGUAUGGUGGACCUUGGUGAGAAGUAUCAUGCCCAUGGAGAUGAGUAAAAGAAUUUAAUAAAGAUAGCAAUGCUGAGAGGUUCAAAGAGGUGAAGAUUGGGAAGAAUACAUACCCGAGAAGGAGAUGGAAAUGAAAGUGACAAUUUUGGAAUUGGAAAGGAAUAUUUCAGCCGUUAUCUCACUUUCGCUAAUAGAGAAGUAAUUGGAGUAGGACAUGAAUGAUGGUAAAGCACGUGGUGAUCCGAGUAAAAUAUGUAGUGAUCUGUUUUUGUCUCCCCUUUGUUUUAAUGUUUUAAAUUGUUAUUUAGGCUUUUUUCAUGUUUUUUUAGGUCAUAAAUCAAGAUUGGUUUUGAUUUUUUUCCUUUUGUUUUAUUUUUUUAAUUGUUCUUUUUUUAUUUUCUUCAAUGUUUUAAAUAUUAGUGGGACAAUAGGGUGAUGGAUGGGGCACCAUCUCGAGUGUUGGAACAAGACAAGUCAGGAAAUGGACAGAGAUGGGAUAGGACCUCCACCAUCCCAAAUGUCAAGAUGCAGGGUGUAUUGUCCACAAUAUUAAAACUCAGAUUCCUCUUUUUCUCCCUUCCUCCUCUCCCAUUUUGAAUGCCAACAACAAGGUGCUUUUUCUAUGUUUCCAGGUUAGAAUCAAUCAUUACCAAAUAGUUUUGAUCCCUACCUUGCUAGGUACCAAUCGAUACCAACCAAGUGGCCUAAUAUGGAAGAGAUUGAGGUCUCAAGUGUGCCCCAAAAUGCAGUCAAUCGCCAAUCUUAUCCAUAACCCAGUGUGGUAGCACUGACAGGGUUUUAGAUGAAUUACAUUAACAGCUAAAAUUUGGUGACAUGAUGAUAAGCAAACUAAUAGUGCGUCAUGUUGUAACAACUGAUUUACGUGCUGACCAGCAAAGCACAAUGCCAACAAUAUGCACUAGGCUAGUGCCUCAUGGCAUGUGGUAAAAUACAAUACUGAUUAUGUGCUAGCACUAAAGCAUGCUAUUGUGGCGAUAUGUGUCAAGCCCUAUCACGAAAUGACAAAACAUGGCACAGUAUUUCCAUGCCAAUGCCAUACCUGCACACUAUCAGCACAUAAUACACUUCAAUUCUUGGCUAUAUUAGUGGCUCAAAGAACGGGAUUCCACAUAAUUCAAUGUUGUUGCAACAAAUGAGACGCUAUGUUAGUGAUGCAUCAAUAUUGUUGCAGCAAAAGCAUUAUGAUAGGAAUCAUAUGUUUUAAUGAAGAUAUUAACAGCAUAAAGUACCUGCUCCUUCUCAAGCAAGGACUGCUGUAAGCCUUCAAGGGCAUUCUCCUUGGCUUCCAAUGUAAGACGCAGUUCCUCAAUGUUAUCACGAUGUCUGCAAAUUACUUAUAUCAAUAGAUGUGUAAAAGCAUCUUAUAAUCUAGAGGCUCUAAACAGAAGCUGUAACUAUAGAAAAAGGGGAUAGGGACUUGCAUAAACACAGCGUUGGUUACCGCCAACAUAUUUUGUCGCUAGGAUGCAAAUUAUAUAUGUCGCAAGAUACCAUUUUUAAGUUGAAAAUAUAAUAUGAAGUGAAGUAAUGCUAAAAUAGCAACAUGUCUUCUGCUAAAUAUCAGCUCAUAUAUGUCCAUCAAAAUGAUCCAUAGCAGUUCACUGCCUGAAAGGAACAAAAUAAGUAAACACAAUGAAAUUCUUGUAACAUGAAAUUCCCUUAAACUAAUGGAACAGCUAAAAUAAGUAUGGCCAACUUUAGACAGUUUGAGAGACAUCAUGAAAUAAUAGAAAAUUUGAGGGCAAGAAACAGAAAGGAUAAGUUCGUUUAACCUAUGGCUCCUAGCCAUCAAAUCAUCUGGUUUCUUGGCUUCCCUAUUACUAUGCUAUUUAAUCUUACCACAAUCAGCUUGAACCUCAUCAAUCUAGUGAGGCUGCAAUCAGUAUUCCAGAACCUUUCUGAUAUCUUCUAGGCAAGUUCUCACUCUAGCAAGGGCAUGCUAGUCAGAGUAAGUUCAGUUACUAGAAGUACCUAUAUUCAAUGUAGUGCUUCCUUCAACAAGUUUUGUGCCACUGUUAAAUUAUAUAUAUGCAACAUCUUGGUAAAUAAGUAAACCACCACGGUUAUAGGAAAACUUUUCAUGGAUCAUCACACAAAAAGUUCAAAUUGUUCCAAAGUAAUAUCUGACUUUGAAUAAAAUCUGCAUCUUUAAUGAGUUUAUUUACCAGGACCAUACUACUAAUAUAUGGUAUCAAUAUCAGUUCAAUUCAACUUAGCUAUGGAUAUGGAUAUUUCUAUCGAAAGUGGAUCUCAAAAUGGAACUUAGAUAAAUCUCACUUGUCCAGAAUACCAGAUCACUUAGAGGAGGCACAACUAGCUCAACAUGUAAAUUUGAGUUCAAACCCUGUGCAUUGCGUAAGUUCUCCAUGGUGGAAUCUUCUGACUAUCACAAACCCAAAAGGCUGAGAAGAACCCCUUGAAGCCAAGGGACAGCCUGGAGCAGGGCAUCUUGUCCAUCGUCCAUUAUCAGUCAAGCUUCUUCCAGCCAAACAUAUUCUCCAAGCCACUGAAUAUGAACUCUCGUGUAUUAAAUCACAAAUAAGUUCAUUUUAGAUAUAGUUGGAUAUUAUAAACCAACGACGAGCCUAGAACAGAUAUCAAAAUCAUUGUAAAUAGAAAGGAGACUAGCAAUAGCAUGAAACAUAACAGGCAGCACCUCAUGCUCCAAAGUGGUAUUUAAUACUAAAAGGGCCUAGGAUAUUCUUUUUCAUAAAUUGGUACAUAUUUUUCAUAAAUUGGCAUAUACUACUUUUGGCAUAUGGUAUCAUCAUCUAUUAUACAAGGACACUGAGUGUUGAUUCAUUUUCAUAUUAUCCCACUUGCAACAUCUCAAUCUUCAACAUGGUUCAUCUAAACUUACGGAAGAUGUUGAAGGUAGUCAGUAGAUUGAUUUUUAAUAAAUAGGGUCAAUUAUGUUAUACAUAAUGAAUAUUGUCUAUUAUGUUGCUCAUAUUCCUUGGUGUCAAGGGUACAACCUCAAAUGUUAUUUAAGAGUUUGGUUGAAACUGAUUAGCAAAGAUUAUCAUUUUCUGAUGACAUGUUAUAAGUAUUUGCUUCCCUCCAACUUCUAAGCUUUCCUAGGAUAACCUUAUUUAAGUUUUUGUUUUAUUUUUUUUAGUUAUGCAGUGUUUCUGUCCAGCCUAUCUUGAAACUUGAAAGUAACCAAAAUGUUGCAUACCAUGAUUUUCAAAAGUUACUUUCUUUAUCAGAAACACUACAGAUGGUACACUUAUUUUUGUUUGAACUACAAUUACAUGAGAGGGAUUACUUAUUGUUUGCUGUCCGUAAUUGUUGCCUUUCAGCAUCCAUUGAUCGCAAUGCUUCAUUGGCUUGUUGGCGAGUGCGUUCCAAUUCUUGUUGUGCCAAUGCUUGCUGAGAUGAAGCUUGCUCAGCCUUAAUAUUAACAUCGUUGAAGCGAGCUUCUAGGUCAUCUUUUUCCUGAAAAAAAUAAAUUAAAAACAAAACAUCAAAUCAGGGCGCUGUCCUGAAUUUGAGGAAAUUACAAUUAUAAAAAGCAACAACAAGAAGGUAGAGUAUACAUUCCUCGAAAGAUCGAGAUGGCUUGUAUAUGCAUAUCUAAUAAUUAAAAAUUUAAAACUAAUCAUGAAGGACAAUGAAAAUUUAGAAUAUAUAAACGGGUCCAUUUGGAUGGUGAAGUGUUCUUUGUUUGGUUAAUUACACUCAAAAGAUAAAGGGAGGACCAUGCAGCAACAAACUCAUUAUUAGAGGAAGUAUUGAUCUACUUGUCACACCCCUGACCCAAAAUCAAAAAACAGAGACAUGGCAACCGCCUCAUACUCAUAUGGCAUUGCCCUACAAGCAUGCAAGGCAUCCAAUCCGUAAUUAAAUCAAUAUAAACAUAAUAGUAUAAUAAAUCCAACAUAGACAGUGGAUAAAAUCAGAGCACCUAAAUUUUCAAAUUCAAUAAUUAACAAGUCCAAAAAUUAACAAGAAAUACAAGAAAUUUGUUCACAAGAAUCUAACUUCAACGACUCUCCAAAUGUUCAAUAUAAUCGAAGAAGGAAAGCUGCAAAAUAGCUAUGAAAACUAUACUAAAAAAUAAAAACUAGUUCUAACUUCUAAGCCACAUUAACUAUUAUGUUCUUUCAUCUUGUCACACUCAUACAAUGGUGCCCUAUCAGCCACUAAUUCUUAAGAUGCAUAAAGAAAGAAAAGAUCAAAUAAUGAGAAGUAUGCUCAAAUAUUUAUAUUCUUAAGAACAAAUUAAGAGUUCAUAUUUCAAGUCAACAACCUAUGAAACUACGACCACAUUUAUAUCCUAUGGCAAGGCCAGAGAACAAGAUUUAUACCCUGGAGAGUGGGCUAGAAUGCCAUAUUUAUAUCCUAUGAAGUGGGCCCAAGUACCGCAUUUAUACACUAUGGAAUGGGCCAGAAUAGUGUAAGUUUUGGAACAUUCAAAGUGCCAACAUAUAACUCUCAUUGGCAAGGUCCAAACAUAAUCAGGCCAAGAGUCAAAAAUUUGAAAAAUAUUAAAGGUCAUAAAUAAUAUAGAUGGAAAAUUCUAAAACAAAAAAUUCAUGUUUAACAAAAGAUGUCUAAACAAAAAUACGCAUAAAAUUUUGCAACAAAAGCAGUUGUACUUUAAUUUAUGAAUUUAUUUUCCAUACAAAAGCUUAUGGUGACUCAUUAUUUACAUAACAAAGAAAGGUUUAUUUACAUAGAACUGAAGAUUAGCAUCAGUGUUACUCAUUAUUUUUAGUGUUGCUCAUUAUUUUUAGUACUACCAAUAACAUGAGCUUCUAAUAGGACCAACAAAUGCAUAUUAAGGCAAAAAUGUGUUCUUCAUAGGUAACCACUAUUACACGUCCUAAAGCUUUUAUAAUAAACUUUAAGCAAUGAGUUAUUUACAGUAGUUGGCUUCCAUAACAAAGGGACACAUAAAUAGAAGAGAAAUAUAACCUAGAUCAAGAGAAAGGAAAGGAACAAUAUAUGAAUGAUUCUUCCCCUAUUUCUAAGGUAUCAGCCACUACAAUGUGCAGAAUUUAAUUCUUUUCCCUUUCUCGGCCAUAAGACACCUAGAGGAGAAUCAUGACCUUCUCCAAGAAUUAUGACUUUCUUGUAUGUUUAUUUUUUACAAGAAUUUUCAAGAAGAUCCCUCUCACUAGGAGAUAAAAUACUGGAGUUAGGACUCUCCAAGGGGAACAUUUUAGUGUUAUUACUUCAUUAUUUAGACAAAGAUUGAACUGUACAAAUUUUUCUAUGUAUUCUUCAUCUUCUUAUCUCUUAAGUAAUUCUUGUAAAAUUAGUAUCUCUUAACUAAUUCUUUUAGAAUUAGUCAGAGACUAACCAUUAUAAGUCAAGGAUUUGACCCCAAAGAAAUUUUAUGUAUGAUAUGAACUUAUUUCAGAUCUAUGUUUCGUUUUUAAAAUAUGGACCAAAAUUUCAGCACACAAAUUAUUGUAGUUCAGAUUAAAGGUUAUUCUACAUUAUUCUCACUUCAAAAAUCAGCACUAAUGGUACACUUUGUAAUGUCAUUCAAAACAACUCUUGGUGACCCCAUAGAUGCCUACAGAUUCCCAUGUGGAUGCAAGAGCAUUUAAAUGUACGCAAGAUAAAAGAGGAGAAAAGAACAAACGCUAAAACUAAAAAACAAAUAAGAAUCUGUUUAAACUGUUCACCUUCUGCAACUCUUGUAUACGUUGUUUUGCACGUUUGUGAAGCCUUCCAAACUUGGAGUCCAGUUCAACAUACUUAUCAUCACGCUCUUUUAUUUCCUGUUCCAUCUUCUUUUGAGCUACAAAAAUGAAACUAAAUAAUGGUUUAAGAUUUCAAAGGGAGUUUAAGAAAAAAAGUGAUACACCAUGCCAUACAAAUGCUCUCACAAAGAUAAACAAACUGAUUAUAUUUUUUAAUUAUAAAACCAUGACAAAGCAGAUCUUAUGGAAACAUCUUAUAAUUAUUGACUCGGAUUUAAGAUUGGCUAUCAUAAGGCUCAACAGUUGACCAUUUAAGGACAUUUCCACCACUAAAGGAUUCUCUGCACUGUGGGAUCUUAUAGACAUUAAUAGCAGGACUUUUUUCUUAUAAUCUCAUCUUGUAGCGAGACAAAUAAAAAUUAAUAGUUGUCUUCCAAAAGUCUAUCUCUUUUCAAUUUCAUCAUUUCCUCUGAUUCUGUGAUGCAGCCCGAGGAUUAGAGACAGCUCGAGAAGGGUUUGUGAAGAAUGUCACGGUUUCAAGUUAGGUUAAUCUAUGGAUGCUGUCUAGAAAUUUUUAUUUGGCACAUCCCAAAUUGAGCGCUGCAGCCAAUAGCCUAGAGCUUUCUACAUUUACAUAUCAAAGUUGUCAAAGAGAGGACCGUAGAGCUUUUCAGAAAUUUCUGCAUGUAGCUUUGCUAUUAUUUGUUGUAAUGAUAAUGAGAAUAGGCCAAAAUAGUCAUAUCAUCAACCAGGUUCAUGCUAGAUACAAAACGAAAUUGCUAUCAUGUAAGUUUGCACGAAAAAUAAUACUUAAAAAACAGCAAGGACCCAUUUUGAGAAAGUAGGUUGUAAGAACACAAAUCUUAAGAGAAAGACAAGACUAGAGAGAGAAAGCAUCAUACCACCGAAGGCCUGAAGAGACCCAAGUUAACGAAAUGUCAAACAUCAAAUUGUGCUGCAUACAAGAUUUAACUUUUUCCUAUUUAAUAUUACUAGCAUUGCAACAAAAGAUGAGUAAACAUUCGAAUAAUGGAUUGUUAAUUUUAAGAUGUCAAACAAGCAAUUGAAUCAGAAGUAAAUGAAGAAAGCAAUACAGAUCAAGAUAAGCAGUUUGUGAAUUUGUUAUUAAGAAAAAACAACUAACCUUCAACAAGCUUUGCAGUAAGCUCUUGAACCUUUCCAUCAGCCUCAGAAUAUGACAUCCUGAGAUGCUCCAGAGCAUUAUCUGCUGCCUUUUGGGUUUCUUUGUGCUCUUGAAUUUCCUUAUUCAAACACUUUAUCUGUUCAUGUAGGCGGUUCACUUGUUCAGAAGCCUCUUUAUCUUCACCAUUUUCACUGUUUUGCUUACAAGCAUCGUUUGACCUAAGAAUCUCUGACUUGAGGUCUCCAAAAUGAGCCUUCAAGUACUCAUUCUGUAAUCUGAGCUCAAUAACCAUUUGUGUGAGUUGGUCAUGGGUUUCAUCAGGGCUAGCAUUAUCUUCAUGAAUACCAUUUUCCACAUUGAAAUUUGCAGCAGAACCAUCUAUCUUGUUGGAUACAUCACCAAACUGCUCUGAUGAACCAUCUAUUUUUGCAGCAGCAUCCUCCAGACCUUCCACUUUUUCACCAAUCCUCUCUUCAUUACUGGAGAUGGCUGUGUUCUCCCCAGUAGCCAUUGUAAAUUAUAUUGAUUUGAGCCUAUACAAAGGCAAAAAUGAAAGCUUACCACUGACACAAGCAGCUUAAGCACUGAUGCAGCAAGGCAUAACAAUCUAAACUAAAAAUAGAAUGUGAUUUCAUAUUCCAGUUAUUAUAAAAUAGUCAAACAAAUAAUGAAGCUUUUGCAACUAUGCGUUACCAUCAUUGGCUGUUUCACGAGUAAUUAAACAAAUAAUCAAAACCAGCUAUUUCUGCAACAAAUUCUACCCCGAAAUUCAAGAAAUCAACACAUACUCCAGAACAUACAAGUAAACUCCAAUCCACUUCCUUCAUCACGCUAGUCAAGUGAUCGACGAAAUGUAGCUUAAUUUCAUCUAUCCAGCUCUAGUUACAUCCAAGAACUAGACAUAAAAUUUCAAAAACUUCCUCCCCCUUCCUUCUUUUAUUCAGAAGAUCGGCUCACUAUUGGGAUCUGAGUAAAGACUUUACACUACCAUACAUGCUGAUUGUUAACGCCCGAAUUAACUUACAAUGCAUCAAACCCUUGUCUCAAGAUCUGAAAUUUCGCAAUCUAUUAAUAUUCUUGGAAAAUUCUACAAAUGUAUGACUCAAUCUUUCACCCUUUUAUCUAUUAUCCCUCCCUAAAACCCUCAUUACUUGUCAUGCCAGCGAAUAUCAAACAAGAACUACCGUUACGGAAUCGAGUCCCCAACAACCAAGACUGGAUCCCUCCCACUAUAAGAAAAUUCAUCCCAACAUUACCGAUUCUUCCUAACAAGAUUAGUCUGCCGAUGAAUAGUACUCCUAAUAUCAAAAUACCUCGGAUCCAAUGCCCAGAUCUUGCAAUUUAAAAAAAAAAAUCAGGUUGGAAAGAUCUGAAUCGGGUCGAAAGGGAAUCCUGACCUGAUCAAGAACGACGCGAUCCGAGGUAUGAGAGCUCGGAGGGAGAAAGAAAGGAAGAAAAGAGGGUUUUAACUAUUUUUCUUCGCUUCUUCUUCUUCUCCUUCGGUGGUCGGUAGACGGGAAAAAUUUGGAGUUUCGGAUCGGGGAUGGACCUCCGAGGUGGCAGAGAGGUGCGACUUAGGAAAAUAACUAGGGAUAUUUUAGCCUUUUAAAAGAAUAUUCUGAGAUCUUGAUGCGGAGACGGUAACGUAACGGCUUCAUCUCUCAACCGGAGAUAAAUAAAUAAAUAAAUGAGUAGCAACCAUAUAAGUGUAAUAAACGUUUCAGGAAAAAAAUAAAGAAAAUAAUUAAUACUUAUUAGUUUGUAUCUAAACAAAAAAGAAAAUUUAGAAAAUAAAUAAUAGACAUGAAACAUAAAAUUAAAAAAUAAAAUAUAAGAUAUAUAAAUAUGAACUAAAGAUCCUAAUUUACUUAACGUCGAUUAUGAGUAGGACUAUUCAGAUUUGACUUGAAAUAUAAUUGUCAGAGAAUAUAGAUGAGGAGUCUAUAAUUGAGAUGAGGAUGGAGAAAAAAAAGAGAAAAAGUGAAUAUUUUUUUUCCUUUUGUCAUAGUUAAGAAAAAUUAGGAAAUGAUUUAAUUGAUAUUGGUUUAUUGUGAUUUUUUCUUUUCUCAUCUUAGAGAAAAUAAACCUAGAUUCAUCAAAUUGUUCAUUAUGAUAUAUUUCUUUCUUGAGUUGUAACUAAGUUUUCUUCCUUAUCUAAGAAAUUAUUUUCUUCGCAUAUUUGUUGGAUGAUUGUAUAUGUAUUCUAGAAAAGUGAAAUAAUAUACUUGGUGCAAAAAAUAAUAAAUAGAAUCUAUAACAAAUAUUCUCAUACUUUAAAAUUGAUAUAAAUUAGUAUAUGCAAAUACAUACACACAAAUGAUAGAAUACAUUAUAUUACUACUACCUAUGAUCAACAUAACUUUUUGUUUUACUCUUUUUGUCAAAUAACAGACACAAUGAAAUAGAAAAAUCAAGCCACUUAUGAAAAAUGUAUUUAACUUUUUUUAAAUAGAGAACAAGCAUGAAAAAUAAUUACUUAAAAUAGUGGAUCCUACCUCGAGUUAAGAUAUUUGAAGGCAAAAGUUCUAUGGAUGCUUCAUUUUACGAAAUUGGCUACAUAAGAUUGAGAUUGAAACUUUUUCCAUUAUAUAGAUUUUUUUUAAUUUUAGCAUUAUAUUCCAGUCAAUAGAUAAAAGAGAAACCAGAUACAAGAAUGAGAGAGAAUUUUCAAGAUGUAAUAAUCUUUUUCAGGAUAGCAACAAAUUAUCAUUUAAGUUUGUAAGAAAGUUUUAUGAGAUUUCAUGCCAUUUCUUAUAAACAUUGUACCAUUUGGCACAUGGUGAUCAUUCUUCAUGGUUUUUAGAAUUUCCAUCUUAUGUCUUAAAACUAUCUAUAUUUUUUCUUACAUGUGUUAUACUAGUUGGAUGUAAUACCUCUUAAGAAUAAACAUGAUGACUUGCUUUGCAAAUAUCAAAACCUCCUCUCAUAUAAUUACAGCCUUUCCUUGACAUGUAUAAUGUUAGUUGGAUAUAUUGUUAUCUUUAUAACCAUAAAGUGGGUGCAUGACUCCAUAUCCUUGCUAUCAAUGUCACUUUUUGUUUUUAUGUAAUUAUCUUUUAAUGGUUACAUCACUCACAUGCAUUACGCAUCCUUUAUUAUACAAUAGGAAUAAAUAUGAGAAGUUCAAAAUAAACAAAAGUAUUGGUUGAUGGCAAAAGAUGCCAACCUACUAAUCAAGUAAAAUCUCUUGGUGGAUAUACCAAAAACUUGGGUUUAAAUCUCACCUUCACUAAGAUUUGGUGGCUCAGAAAUGAUCCAAGCAAGGGCAUUCAAAAAAAAAAAAACUCGAAAUAAGUUAUCAAAUAAAUAUAAAUACAUGAUACCUUAAUUUUGUAAGAUAAGUAACAAUAUAUUAUUUAGUCCAUGUUGAGCUAACAUUGCUCUAGAAGAUUAGGCCUCAUAAUUUCUUUUCGAUAACUUCCUCCACGUCUCCCAGCCAUACCAACUCAUCCCUGCCUCCUCUCACCCUUGCUCCUGCACCACAAGCUCCUCCUGUCCUUAAUCUCGCCCUCAACGUACCCAUAAGCCCCCUACCUACCUUCAUGACUACAUAUUUUCUACUCUCCCGUCCACAUCCUCCACAGCUUUACCAGCUCAUCCGCACUCCUCAGGUACGAUUCAUUUCUUGUUUUCUUUUCUUUCGUGUUAUCGUUUCUCUAACAAUCAUUUGGCUUUUUUAUCUGAUCUGUUGUCACACCGAUCUUACCACUUACUCUCAAGCCGUGCGUGACCCUCAUUAGUGAUGCUAUGGCAGCUGAAAUUCAAGCCUUAAAAGCUAAUCACACAUCGACCUUUCAAUCCCUUUCUUCCGACAAAAAGACCAUUGGUUGCAAGUGGGUAUUCAAACUAAGCUUAAGGCUGACGGAUCCAGUGAGCAUCAUAAAACUCGCUUGGUAGUUAAGAGGUACACUCAGAUUGAAAAACUUGAUUAUAAAGACACUUUUGCUCCCGUUGCAAAAUUAGUUCUAAUAUAUUAUGUUCUUGCCGUCAUUAUUGGCGACAAUUGGUUUUUUCGUCAAUUAGAUACCAAUAAUGACUUUUUCUAUGGCAAUUUGACUGAAGAGGUGUCUGUAUACAUCCUCUACCAGAUUAUUUAUAUUUAUGCAAGAGCACCUCAUAUCGUACAAUCUAGGAAUGAGAUGUAAGUAAUUUGAUUUAAUUUUAUUUGAGAAAGCAUGAUGAAGUCGUUGAAUAGGAAACAUGAGAGUUAGUUAUAAUUUCAGAAUAUAACAUUAUGCAUAUUCACAUGAUUGAUUAAAAAAGAGUUCAUGAUUGAUGGCCAUAACCCAGCAACUAAUGAUGAACACGUUUGCUGUCCAUGAUCCACAAACGAGCAUUUCAUGAUGCGGAUUGGUGAACCGAUGCAGGAGUACUGGGUUAUUGAAUUCCUCGUCUCUCUGGCCUUCAUCCUCUUAAUGAUGAUGUAUAACUGAUGGUGAUUGGGAAUAAGUACUGGGUAAUAAUUUUGAAGUCCUUGAUGAUGAUGUAUAACUGAUGUGAGAAUAACAUUUUGGUCAUCCUUCUUCUUCCAGAUGACCAUUUUAAGAAAGAUAAAGUCGUGAGGAGAAAAUUGUCGUGUACGAACCAUACAUAGUGUUAAGCACGUAUAUGUUUCUCCAAAAUGGACAAUAUCUCUGAUUGGGAUGCAGUCACUUUUCCGCUUUAACAAAUAGCGCUAGGAGGGCCCUACCAAAACUUCCCCGCACGAAUCCUUUCUGCCGGAGGUAGUGUUGGGGGCAGAUGUGGGACCCGGAACUUUAAUCCCAUAUCGAAAGAGUAGUGAAAAGGAUUGUGCCUUAUAAGGAGGGGCCACCCCUUUCCUUUCAGAGAGCCCUUUUAAGAAGGACAAAGCUAUGAAGAAAAAAUUGUCGUGCACGAACCACGUAUAGUGUUAAGCACGUGCGUGCUCCCCAAAACAUACAAUACCUUUGGUCGAGACGCAGUCACUUUUUUGCUCUAACAGUAUGCUUAAAUAAUUUGUCUGAAAUUGAUAGCGCUCUCUAAUGAACUAUUCUGUCUUCUCAUUCAUUUGAUAUAUUCAUCGGUACAUUAAUUUGCUACCGAUGACGUACAUUAAUUUGGCAUCAUGCCAAUAAGUCUAAAAAAAAAGUUUAUCCUAAUGCUACAAUUUUCUUUUUAAAAAAUUAUUACUUAAUUUUAUUGUUUAAUUUUUUAUUAAAAUAUUGUUUAUGUAUCAUGUACCUUUCUAGUUUGGCUUAGUUACUUUUUGUUAUAUAUUUUGAAUUUUGGUAGACUAGAUGAAAUCCUCUAACAUACAAAUAUAAAUAUAUGUUUUAAAUGAGUAAGGUCCACCAUUUUAGCCACUAUAUGCAACAUUGAGGUAUAGUGAAAUAAGAAUUGUUUUGAUAUUGGUUUAGUAACUUAUUGUCAAAUUCAAUCUGCACCAUUCAAGUAGAGAGGACAAAGAAGUUAAUUGGAAACUGGUUAUCAAUCUUAAAAUUUUUAAAAUUUUAGACCUUUAAUAGCUUUUUUUUUUGAUUUUAUUUAAGCUUUAAACCUAUGUUGGUAUGAUUAUCAGGAGAUUUUGUCAUCAUAGUAGUGGGACUUGUAUUAGUCGUUAUAUCUAACGAUGACAGGUUUACACAUGAUUUUGAUAGCAUCUUCAUAUUUUCUUUUAAAAAUAAAAACAUACCGGUUCUAUGAUACAAACUUUUGUAAUCUAACUCUAUUUUGUUAAUUUCAUCCAUCAGUUUCCCAUGAUAAAUUGGGUUGCGGCCUACUCUAUCCAUACACAAAAACAAAUUAUAUAUGCCAAAUCGAAAGCCAAAUCGAAACCCAAUAAAUAAUCCUACAUGGAUACCCAAUGGUGGAUUCAAAAGUUUAAGUUAUUAGUUGAGUUUUAGGUAUUUGUCAAGUUUUUUCAGGGUUACUCUGGAAUCAAUCUCAAUCAAUCAUCUAUUAAAGCAUAAGGCUAAAAGUAAACUAGUGGAUGGUGAUAUGCCUAGAACCGACAUCUUUCAAUGAGGACACAAAUAGACAAAUUGGAAUUUGUCUUAUGGCCUCCAUUAAGGACACUAUAAAGAUUAAAUCUCCUCCAACAACAAUUACAGCUUGGCUCAUGUUUGCACAUAGUUAAGCUGAUGCACGUAAAGAGCGGGCAGUUAUGCAAUAGUUAAGGCACACGUCUGCCUUACUUGAUAACAGAUGUCGACUCUCGCCUAUAUAGGCAGCAUUCGAGGAACCUUCAAAUAGCUCUCUUGACACUUUUAUUGACAGUCUCUAUGCUUUUCUUCAUGUUGCCAAUCUCUCUCAAGUCUCAGCUAUUUUUCUAAGAUUUCUGCCAGUCUUAGGCAUCGAAGAAUCCUCCAUCGGAUAAACUCUAAUAAGUGGAAUUUCUUUUCUUGGUUUUAGUCGGACGGUCCAUGCCAGAUUACCUUCUCCAUCUGAGCACAGCCACAGCCAUCUCAAUAGCCAAUCUUUCAGCUCAUACCAACCUUGCUGACCUUAUCAACAUUCGUUGAGCUCAUCAGCACAAUCAUAAAGUGCCUCAUGGUCGGGUCGGAUUUUGGCAGCAAUAGAUGGGUUAGAGGGAAGAGAUAUCAUUAUCAAAUCAUUGUCCUCAAGUCCACCAUGCGAAGCUUCACAUGUGAUAUUUAGGUCUACAUAAAAUUUUAGUAGAGAUAGAUGAAUUGAUAUAGAUAAUUGAGUUCAUCGUGGGGCACACCAGAAGCUAAUAGUAAAAUAUGGUCGCUUUUGUCCUUUGCACACAAAAAGGGAAAUGAAUCCAAGACUCCCUUAUUUGUUCAGAAGCAACUUAGAUGAUUUCAUCUCCAUAGAGCCCCCUUCUCCGAGUUUUUUCAAUGUGAACUUCAAUAGUAGUAUGCAUGAGGAUGGAGGUCGAGGAGGUGCUGACUUUAUGAUCAAAAACGCUCAUUUCAAAUUGGUCGCAAUAGGGUGUAGUAGUCGGCUCUAUGAUACUUUUAUUUCUGAAGCCGAGCUCAGAGCUGCUUGAGAAGAGAUCACCCACGUGCAGGUCAUUUUAGAGGUAGAGCGUAUCCACUUGCAAGAAGACUCGGUGACUGUGAUUUGGUGGAUCUAGGGCCACGUCUGGGUAGGCGAUGAGCACCCACUGUUGCAGGACAGUCGGAACCUCUUGGGGGAUUGUGUGGCCUCCAAGGUUCCCAUGCUUACUGAGAGACGAAUAGUGCAGUUGUUUAGGUUACCUCGUAUGUUGCGCAGCGCUCUAGUAGCUGGUUUUAUGAUACCUACGAGUUCGCUCCAUCUCCUCUUUGUCACCUUCUUUUUUAUGACUUCUUUAGAUGUAGUCAUGCUAGAACAGUAUGGUACCAAAAAAAAAGAAUCUUCACAUUUGUUUAAAUAAAGUACAAAACAAGACACUCAAAAAAUGUGACCUAGCCGCAUGGAAUCUGGCUGUUAUUCUUUUCUUUUGGAUAUUACAGAAGUACGAGGACAACCGAAAAGAUAGUGAUUGAAGGAAAAUAUAUGAAAGUAGCAUAUGCAUCCAAAAAUUUUGACCUUCAAGGACUUUCGCUAUUGUUCUACUAUUAUUCGAAGGAGAUAGAUGUCGAUAGAGAUAAAGAUAUAGCCUGGGUUACAGUAGUAAAAAUCUAAGUUAAUAUUAUUCCUAAAGUAAAAAGCUACUAGUAAGUUAAGCUAAGUUAACAUAAAAUGCAUAUGUAAGUUGGAUUAUCGAAGGCUCCUUUAACAAAGUAUAACACCACUUAUUUAUACUGAAUAGAAUAACUAUUCAUUUUGAUGGUUACUAUCCAUAUCCGACCUCCAUUUCUAGCUGUUCUAAUAACUGAUGCUAGCUGUCCUCCUACUAUGGAUGUUAAUUAGCAUAGUUGCUUUGUACUAACUAUCAGAUUGAUAAGUAUGCAUUUUCGAUUUUGGCUCAUCCAAUAUACUUGCAUUGGCCUUCUCCUUAUUUGACCUAUAGUGCGGUUUUCAUCCCUUAGAAAUACCUUGGAGACCGAUUUGGUCAUCGGUCUACUCUUUCUGUCGGCCAUCCGACUUCAUAAGUUUUGUAUUAUAAUUGAUCACGGUCAAGUUUUGAUCUAUUGGUCUGGUCCUUAGUAUAAUGAUCGGAUUAGUUCUACCUCUUUAUUUUGUACCUCUACAUACUAGUAGCAUUUAUUGUAGCCGAACUAUACCCAGCUCAGUAAGGAUCAUGUGAUUUCCAUCUACAUUUAUUUUAUCUAACUUUGUCCACAUGGCACUUACGCACAGUCUCCAGCAAAUUUGUUAAGAUGAGAGGUUCCUUCUAACAAAUAUUCAUUUAUUCUCUUGGUUAUCUCCUCCGUGCUUAAAAGUCUCUAUCUUAGGUUUUUAUUGCAUUAAUCUGUUUGAUUUUAUCUUUCUCCAGUAGCCUGAAUGUUUCUUUUGUGGUGGUAACCAGUGAUACGGUGAUGUGCUGUAGCCCUCAUACUCGUUUCUAAUGUAUCUUUCAGCUCCUCUUUUCUACCUCCCACCAAAAAAAAAAAAAAAAAAAUCUAUCUUAAAACUUUAUGAUUCCUCUAAAAGGACCACCAAAAACUUAAAAUAAAUGAAACCUAACAUUCCCACCGACGGACUUUCCAAUCUUCUCACUAACUUCCUACCAACAUCUUGCGGGGAAGAGGUGGAAAAUUUUCUCUCAUAUAUAGGAUCUUUUCAAAUUUCUAUCUUAAAAAAAAAAUUAGGAAUCUCAAAAAUCAAAACUAUUUUUAAUUAAAAAUAAUAUUUCCUAGUUAGAUAACUUUAUGGAUAAAAAUAAAUUACGAAUGCAUUAUUCUUAAAAUAAAAAAAUUCUAAAAUUAAAAAAUAUAUUGAUUUUAUAAAAAUCACCACAAGCACUAGACUCUAGUGAUGAAAUGUAUGCAAUUUGAUUUAAUUUUGUUUGAGCACCAGGAUAAAGUAGUUGAAUGGAAAACAUGAUGGAUAGCUAUAAUUUCAAAAUAUGGCACGUAUAUAUGUGCAUGAUUGAUUAAGAAAGAGUACGUAAUUGACGUCCAUAACCCAGUAAUGUUGAACGCGUGUGCUGUCUCCGAUCCACGAGACAUCUCAUGAGAAAUCAUGGGGCCAUGAAAAUAUAUAUAUAUAUAUAUAUAUAUAUAACUAAAUGAUAUAAAAUAAUAUUUGAAGGAGAAGGACGAAGGCAAUAGGUUUUUUUUCUUUGUUGAGAUAGACAGUAAUUUAUAUAGAUCUCAAAUGAAUACAACAAAUGAAAUUAGAAAUCAAAAUUUUCCGAAGAGGGGUUUUCAAAUGAAUACAUCUAGUGAAAUCAGAAGCCAAAAUAUUCCAAAAAGAGGCGGGCAUGUUGAUGCUGUCGGUCCACACUAUCUCGUCAGAAUGCGAUGCCAUAAAAGAUGCAACUCAAUCCACCACUCUAUUGUUGUUCGGAAGAAUGUGCACCUUCUCACAUAUCGCCAAAUAUUCUGGAGCAGAGGUGGAUGGUUCCUAUUUUCAGCCUGUUCUCGGAUCCAGCCAAGUACAAUAAUUGAGUCCACCCUUACGGGCCAAUUCCAUCGUCCUGGAGAGAGACUCGACCACAGAUAUUACAUGGAUCCGGGGGGGUUCAAGGAGUAAUGAUUGCGUUCACUCUUUGCUCCAAGAUAUUUGGACAAUGAUAAGGGAUGGAGGGCAUGUCUUCCGUGAAGAUAAUGAGACUGCGGACUGGGUGGUUGCUUAUAUAGUCAGUCACUCCGGUAGUACUCUAUGGGCUAGAGAUGGGAAGUCGCCUCUGGCACCCCGAGUUAUUUUGAUUUUAUUUGGUGCAUCCGUACUUGUUUAGUACGAUUCAUCUGCCUUAGCUAAAAAAAAAAAAACAACAGUAAUUGAGGCUUCGUCCAGAUAAAUGGAUGAAAUCUUACAGAGAUAGCGCCUGCCCAUGCUGUCUUCAGCACCAAUUACAGGGGCAUUAUGAAUCCGACUCCCACCCGACAACAACCGACAAUGAUGGUAGUAGUUCAUGGACAACAGUGAUCCCGUGACCCAUGAGAGAUUUCAUUGCAUGUACAUGCCAUAAAAAAAAGGAAACUCCUUCUAUCACCAUCAUGUUGGCGUUCUCAUCCAUGUGAUAUUCAGUACAUUGAUUUGCUACCAAAAAUGGGCAAACCAGAGUCCAAGCAGCCCAGUUUUUGUUUCAUCCACACCCUUGUAUCUAUCAUGGCCAUCAAGUCUAAUAGAACAUUUAUACCAGUGCUAUAUUUUUUUUUAACAAAAAUAUUUCUUGUUUUCUUUUAAAAAUGAAAACAUAUUUGUUUUAUGAUACAAACUCUUGUGAUGUAACUCUAUUUUGUUUUCAUCCAUCGACUCCCAUGGUAAAUUUGGUUUCAGUCUUCUCUACCCAUAAAAAAAAAAAAACAAAUCAAAACUCAGUUAAUAAUUAAUCCUACAUCAACACCCAACGGUGGAUACUAAAGUUAGUGAUUAUUCGUUGAGUUUUGGGUUUUGUUCAGGUUUUUGUAGGGUUAUUAUGGACUCUAUAUCAGUCGUGCGUUGGAAGGUGGAUGAAUUGAUGUAGGUGACCGAAUCCAAAACAUUGGGUGUCCCACACUUGUACGAAUUUUUAUUAGCAGAUAUAAAAUUAUAUUUCACAGCAUUUCUCCUUGGAAGAUCCAACUUUGCCUCCCCCACGAUUUGCUCUCAUUUUUUUAGACAAACAACAAAAAGACAAAAGUCACGGCCAUUCGUCUACAUGUAAAAUUUCUUUCUCUUUUUUUUUUCCGUAAAGGAUGAAUAUACAUUUAUAGAGAUACAAGGAAAGCUAUUUUAGAAAACUAUUAAUCCCAGCAUAAAAGGAUUUCUAAAUCUAGUGAUUCCAUAAAGUAUUUACAGCUACAUUUAGCUAUGAAUUCUCGAAUGAAGAAGUUUCUAUAUCUGUUUCCUCCAUGUUCGGUUGAUGGAGGGGCUCAUACCCAUGGUUAGGUAAAUAGGUUCUUUCCAUUCUUGACUGGUUGAGAGAGACUCACGCCAACACUUCAGACAUGCAUUAUGCAACAAGAACAGUAAAAGAAUAGUAUAAUUAAAUACUAUAUCAACCAAACCUAGCUACUUCUUUCCGAGAGAAAAUUUCAUGGUGGGGCACCCUAGCACCUUAUACUAAAAUCUUAUCACCAUUGUCUUUUGUACAACUAAAAGUAUAACAAUCUAGAAUCUCAUACAAAAAAUCUAGCCAGAAAAUAUUAUUUAGAUUUCUUAAUUUAAGUACCCAAAAUUUAUCCAAUGAAUAGCCGAUAUGAGACUAAACAUAUGUCCGUACGGAUCCUCACAUAUUUCUUUUUUUUAAGCUCUAGCAUUCUUGUUAAAUUAAAAGUCCAAAUCCAUUUAAAUUUAAUCACAAGUACCACGAUCGGCCUGUGGUCAGUCUCAAUAAGUAUGUGUUGCAGUGUUAUAAGUUAUCGGGUGGAUUCGCUCUAAUAUUAUUUGUCAUGACUUAUGAUUUAAUCCAAAAAGACUAUCUGAAAUGUAUUAUUUGAGUUUCUCGAUCCUGUACAAAUAUUUAAGAUAUAUUUAAUAAAUAAUUGAUAUAAAACAAAAUAUACGUCCACACUUCAUGUGAAGAGAAAACCAAUCCAGCACUCGCAUACUUAUUCCAGUUUUAAAUAACCUUCACCAUGGUUUAAAUAAAGGACAAAACAAGACACUGAAACAACCCGACUUAUCUCCAUGAGAUCUGUCCAGAGGAUAUUACAAGACCAGUACCAGAGUGCAAAACAUAAAACUUCUGGGAUAGACAAAUAUAUGCCUCCUUAGCAUGCCAUGGCAAAUAGCUUUCAUGGAUCGAGUGGUGGGAACGGGUCCAAGCGUGCAACAGGAACACACACCAAAGGCUGAGCCCUAAGGAUCACCAUGCCGAUACCUUCGCUCAUGUCCAGCCCUCCACUCCUCUCUUCUUCUUUACCAUCAACUUUCCACUCAAAGCAGUGAACUAAGGCAGCCAACGUCAGUUGUAUCACCUGCAAAGCUAACGAGAUCCCCGGGCACACCCUCCUGCCACUCCCGAACGGCAGCAGCUCGAAGUGCUGCCCUCUGAAGUCGAUCGAGCUGAGCCCAUCCUCUCCAGGCGCCGCGAACCUCUCCGGCCGGAACUCCAGCGGGCCCUUCCAGUAGCUGGGAUCUCUUCCGAUCGACCACACGUUGACGAAGAGGCUCGUGUUGGCAGGGAUCUCGUACCCUCCCACCUUCACUUCCUUGUCCGAUACCCUUAUGGCCAAUGGCGCCGCCGGGUGGAGCCUUAGAGUCUCUUUGACGACAGCACGAAGGUAUGGUAGAUUCGGGAUGUCGCUCUCUCGGAUCAGCCUGUCCUUGCCUACAGCUUUGUCAAUCUCUUCCCUCAAUUUUCUUAGAAUGCGUGGAUGGUUGAUGAGCUCCGCUAGCGCCCAUUCCACCGUAGCGGCUGACGAAUCAGAGCCUGCUGUGAAAAUAUCCUACAUAAUAUAGGAAGAAUAAGGAGUACGAUAUUUUGGACUCAUUUGCUUCACUGAAAAACAAGAAAGAAAAGUAUGAAAAUGCUUCUUAUUUGAUUGGAUUUCUUUAGAGAGGAAGAUGAAAAAGUAGUAUUUUUAUAAAAAUAAAUUUUUAUAUUUAGUAAAAAAAAUUCAUAAAAAAAUAAAAAAAGGUACUUUCCUGCCAACUAGAAAUUAGAUUUUUUUCUAAAGAUAAUUUUAAGCUAUCAAAAUUCAUAAAUAAGAUCUUUCCAUUAGUAUAAUAGAUAUUUAAUAUAAUUUUUUAAAAAAUAAAUACUUAACUAAAUAUAAGCCACUAUACAAUAUGCUGCUUUUCUACGAUCAACCAAAUAUACCAACUUAUUUUUCAAACAUUAUAUUUUUUUUAAAAUUAUUUUUUUUAAAAAGGCUCAAAAGGUGACGUGCAGCUCAAA